GAAAGGAGGUCUCAUUUCCUCCUCCUCCACCACCACCACCUCCUCCUAUAAUUGGUGGCUCUCCGCUUCCAACACUUGCAAGUUCUAAUAGAUCACCUCCAUCUCCACCACCACCGCCACCACCACCGCCUUCAAUUGGUAGUAAUAGAGGACAUUCAUCGCCAAGAAAACCUACUUCUUCAACUUCACCUGAUAGCUUUUCUAGAGGACCUCCGCCACCACCACCACCUCCGCCACCUCCUUUUAAAAGUGUUUUAUCAGCACCUCCACCACCUCCACCACCUCCACCACUUCCUAACAAGAGCUUUUUAUCCACUUCUGCUCCUCCACAUCCACCUCCUGUCCCCACAUUUUCUACUUCUAAAAGUGCACUGUCUCCACCCACACCUCCCCCUCCUCCUCGGGGACAAUCUAACUGUAAUUUAUCAGCUCCUCCUCCACCUCCUCCACCUCCUCCACCUCCCUCUCUUUUUAUCUCUUCAUCUCCUCCACCACCGCCUCCUCCACCUCCCCCGCCUACCAUUUCUGCCUCUUUCAAAGGCCCUCCACCUCCACCCUUUACGUCAAUUAGGCCAACUUCGUUGGCACCUCCACCACCACCGCCUCCCCCUCCAUCCUCUACGUCAAAUAGGCUAACUUCGUUGGCACCUCCACCUCCACCGCCUCCGCCUCCAUCCUCUACAUCAAAUUGGCCAACUCCAUUGGCACCGCCACCGCCACCACCUCCACCGUCAAUCAAUUCUAAAAGGCCACCUGCACCUCCUGCACCUCCUUUGGGAGUUCCUAAGCAAGGUUCCACUCCACCAGCACCUCCACCAGCACCAAAGGCCCCUAAUGCUCCACCAUCAAGGCGGGGUUUUACACCCACUCCACCUCCACCGCCUGGGGGAAAGGGCCUUAAUGUGCCAGCGCCACCACCUCCAUCUACUGGUCGUGUAAGAGCCUCUGUAGGCUCACCUGCUCUAGGGAAAGGGCGAGGUGCAGGAGCUACUUCAAUUCCUCCUAAAAAAGCUUCAUUGAAGCCCUUACAUUGGUCGAAAGUUACACGGGCUAUGCAAGGGAGUUUAUGGGCUGAUACGCAAAAUAAGGAAAAUACUUCAAGGUAUGAAGAUUUUGUUUCGGGGGAUGAAAAAUUACAAUGAGAUCAUUCUGUGUCAUUUCAAUUUAAUAUUCAGAGCUAAAUUGUUUGCUAUUUAUUAUGUCCUGUGAGAAACCCCUUUACAAGCUAAUUGUUUGCUAUUUAUUAUGUCCUGUGAAACCCCUUUACAGAUCAUCAUAAGCACUAUGAUUCUCAUGUUUCUCAACUUCUAAUGCUUAAUAGGUUGCAGAAUAUACUUAUCCAAAAAAAAAAAAAAAAAGAUUGCAGAAUAUACUAGUUCUGAGCGCUUUGAGUUUAACCUAGCUUGUGUUUGGGUGCUGCAAUUUUGUUCUUUAUCUGUCUGUUAUGGGUAGUUCUGAUCAGAUUUUAUUAAUGUACAUGACAGAGCACCUGAAAUUGAUAUUACAGAGCUCGAAAAUUUGUUUUCGGUGGCUUCAGCUAGUGAUGGAACUAGCAAAGGUGGAGGCCGACGUGGUUCCAAAAUCAACAAACCAGAAAAAGUGCAAUUGGCAAGUUUUAUAUGUUGUGUCUUGUUUCCAGUCUCUAUAAUCAUUGUUUUGCUGUUGAACAAUUUUAUUUAUUUUUCCUUAAAUUUCGUAGCAACACAUAAUGGACAUAUAAGAUGAAAACACCCAUUUCCUUUGUUAUCUUGCGCGGAAGAUGAAUUAUUAAUAUUAAUUAAUAAUUCAUUUGUCUAAUUCUCUUCCUCUUCCACUCAAAUCUCACUUUAGAGUGCUUUGUGUGCUAACAACCCUUAGUCUUGUUGCAAUGUGUAUGGACCUUUUACUCUUUGUAGGCUCAAAUCAAACCUUCAACUCCUUCUAUGUAAUGGAGGACUCUACAAUCUAGCUCACUCACUUUCUUCUCCUUCCUCUUUCUUCCCUGCCUGUGACAAGAAAGCCGAAUCUUAUCUUGUUAGCUAAUACUUCUCUAACUGAUACUUCGUACUUCCCCUCUUUAGCCAAAUAGGCACAGUGGUUCCUUGCAAGGCUUGCUGCACUUGACUAAUUGGUAAUUGAGUGCAGAAGUUUUUACAUUUAUACAUGGUAGAUGGCACUAGAAUUCAUAGACUUAUGUCAGGCUUGCUGCACUUGACUAAUUGGUAAUUGAGUGCAGAAGUUUUUACAUUUAUACAAGGUAGAUGGCACUAGAAUUCAUAGACUUAUGUCAAAAUCAUCUGUCGUUGCCAUAAUUCUUUUCUUGUCCAAUACAAAAUUGAAUAUAAGAAAAUACUUUCCAAUGUGCCUAAAUAAAAUACUUGACAUUGCGACGAAUCAUUUGAAAUGUUAUGAGCAUACAGGGAUAAUGUUGAAUCUGCACAUUCACAACAACAACAUACCUAGUGUUAUCCAACAAGUGGGUUCUAGAGAGAGUGGUUUGUAUGCAACCUUGCCCUUGCCUUGAAUUUGCACAUUUGUAAGGUCAAAAGACAUUUUAUAGUGUUAAUUGUCUUCCAUGACUUGUACAUAUGAGAUGAUUGCUGUAAUGAUUUAAACUCAAGAGGGAUUUGCAAGUAAACACACACCUUGGAGGCUUGGACAGCAUAAAUUUUGUGAAAUGAGAAAUAGACUAAAUUGCUGCUAGUUCCAAUGACCAAGCUAUUCUUGACCAGAGUACUUGGUAGGACUGUAUUCUGGCCUACUAAUAGUUUUGUAACUCAAUAUCAGUAGUAAAUCUGAUCCAAAAGAGAGUAUUGGAUCUCUGACCUUCACUUUCAACACACCUAGCAUUGGACAAAAUUCAGAAGUUCCCUUGCUUCUUGUUUCCUUGAGCAGCUGUGUUUCUGCCUCCUCUUUGAACUCCCCAAAACGCAUAACUUCAAACUUGCCAGCUAAUAGCUUCUGUUUUGACUUAGAGAUGUUUUGACGAGUCAAAUCUGUUAGAGGAUUCUAUGACCUUCUUCAUAUAUGUUGUUAUAUAUCUUUUUCUUUCCUGAACAAAUGAAUCGUAAGUGAAGUUACUGUUGGAGUUAUGCUCAAGUCCUCAGAUAGAGGCCAAAUUAGAAGGUUAGAGACACAUCAUGGGCUCAUUCUCCAGAUAGGCAUUAUCAAGCAAGUUUUUCAUAUAGUAAAGUGAGUGUUGUAGGAUGAGUAUGUAUCUCUUUCCUUCAGUAAUUAAAUAAAGAAAUUAAUAUUGGAUAGAUUUUAAAGAGGGCUUUUAGUGGUAAUCUAUGCCUGUGGCUAACAAAGUGGAAGAAAAGAAUGGACAGAGUAAGGCUUGGAUGGGUUUUUAACGUAGGUGAAGCUUCGAAACAAGCACGCCCAUAUAGAGAAGGACGUGUGGUUGCUCAUUCUGAUGUGGAUGAUCAAAUGAACUUUUGGUGGAAAAAUUCUACUUUCUCCAUCCCGUAGUUUACACCAUUUCUGUUUCAUGAAAGUUGAGUUAGUUAUCUUUGACUGGAGGGAUAUCCUAGGGUAAGGCCAUAUCUAACAAUGAGGUUGUGGGUUCGAUUAACCAAGGAUAAAUGGGGAAUCCACUCUUGGGCCUCCUAGGCAGAGGAUUUGGUGGAUGGGGUCAAUUAUAUGUAAAAAAGAACGAUUGCCAUUUAAAAAUUCUAAAAGGUUGUUUUAAUACUUUAAGAUGUAAAUCCAUGUAACGAGUAAUUUUCUUAGGUUGCAAUAAAAAUUAGGGCGCGAUACAUGUCUAGAAGAACUAGAAUGAAAGGGUUGCGGAGGAUAUGCUCCUACAUGGGCACUGCGUCCCAUGGCGAUGGCCAUUGACCAUGAAUGAAUUGCAGUCACUUGCUUUCUUAAUUUAUCUGUUAGUGCCGACAUAGGAUGAGAUGGGACACUUCUACAGAAAGGAACUUUUGCUUUUUAAAGCUUUCACCAUAUAUUAUGAGAUCACUAUGGAAUAGUUGGUGAACAGUCUAUUGGAGUUGGCCUCUUUUUCUUCCUGAGGUAUUGGGAGUCCAUUUUACUGGAUGGGUUAUUUAUAGUGGAAGACUGGAAGUGUUACAUUUUGGUUUAUUUGUUAAAAGGUUUGGGAUUAUUUCUUAACACGUGCUUUUGUCAGAUUGAUUUGCGCCGGGCAUACAAUUGUGAAAUCAUGCUUACAAAAAUCAAGAUUCCCCUGCCUGAUAUGCUUGUGAGUUCUUUUUGGUCUUCUUGUUUCUACUAUCAGCUUUAAUAAUUUUGUCUAUUGUGCUAGUUCAUGUAUCCUAAUCAACAGUCGGAUUUUCAAUAGCCUUUUAUUGUUUAUCAGAUGAAACUAUAAGAUUAUUUGAUCUUUACUUGGGCUUUAGGACUGUCAGCUACUUCAGAAAUUGAGUUGCUUAUAAAUUAUAAUUGAAAAAUUAACACAAACUAAACAGCCAAAAAUAUUAGUGACUCACUACACGCUUGUCAAUUGAAAUUAAGUAACAAAUAACAUAUACAAUUGAAUGUAUAUGUUGUAUGAUUUUAUUUUUCAAAAGAUUACAAUUUUGUAUUUUAGCUCUUUUUUUCCCUUUGUACAUGUGCAAAAUUAUAGAAGUAUCUGAUGAUUCAAAUAGAUAUGCAAACUUAUUGAACCAGCUUCAUGGGUUUGACUAAAAGACAAUUCUCAACAAAAAUAUUAAUAGAUUGUAGUAUGUAUUGAAUUCUACAUGCUAUAAAUCUUUUUACUUGGUUAAAAAGAUUAUAGUAUGGAUUGAACUCUAAAUUGAACUGAAAUAUCACAAGUAAAAAGAUUUAUAGGAUGUAUUGAAUUCUAACUUGAACUGAAAUAUCUUCAUUUCUGCUUGAUAAAAGAACAAUAUAUGGAUAAUUUAUCUAUAUCUUUUCUCAAUAAAGUAAUGAGGAACGAAUAUGUUGGUUAACUACACAUUUCCAAACUAUUCAGGGUCGGCUAUAUGAAUCAUCUAUAUCCAGUUUGCUCUACGUUUAAGUCAUACUCAGAGGAGUUUGGUAGUUUUGACUAUUUAUAUGAUGGCCGUUAACCUAUCACAAUGCUCCUCAUAAUUCUGUUUCGAGUUAGUAUGCUUUUCUCGUAUUGGUGGAGUUUAUAAGCACUUCCAGAGUGUGGCAAGUGGUGCUUCUAGUAGAGACCAAAACAAAGACGAGGCGGUUUUUCUCAUCUGAUUACAUUUUUGAGGGCAUGGUUACCCCUACCUAUGUUGGUGGGAGGUGUCAGGUACCCUAUAAAUGAGUGGAGAUACACACAAGUAGGACCGGACAUUAUCGUUAUUUUGAAAAUAAAUAAAUAGAUGGAGUUCACUGAAAUGAACAAAAGAGAUCUUUAUUUUGAUACAAGGAGAAGAUGAGCUUUGUAUGAAAAUAGAAGUUACUGUAAAAACAACCAGCUGUAGAACUACUUAUUUAAAAGGCAUUUCUAUUCUUUUGACAACUUUAUAGAGUCGAAAAGAUCAUGUAAUUUCACCGAACUUGAAGAGAUCAAAAUUAAAUCUAAGGGAAAUCUACCAUACGUAUUGAAUAAAAUAUUCUAUCCUUAGGCUUUGUGGUCAGAGUCAUGUUUCUAUAAUGCACGGUAUUAUUAUGCUGAUUCAUUCAUGUGGUCAGUAAGUGUGGUGAGCAUUUGUUUAGUGAAUCCUCAUGCAUGGUUUAUUUGGAAGUUCACCUUUUCUUUUUUAGUUAUAUUGGAGGUAAAUCAAUGGAAUAUUUACCAUGGAUUUCUUUUUAUUAAUAUUACAACAACAAUUACGCCUCAGUUUCAAACAAUUUGGGUUAUGCUAUAUGAAUCCUCAUGACCAUUCCACUAAAUUUAAACUCAUUUCAUGCCAAUAUUAUGCAAAUACAAAUAAAUUUCUUUCUUACUGAAGGUAAAUUUAUCCUGGAUCUCUUACAAAUAACACUUGUAUGCAUGUCUUACAGAAUGCUAUUUUGGCUUUGGAUUCGUCAGCUCUGGACAUUGAUCAGGUCGAAAAUCUGAUAAAAUUUUGCCCAACAAAAGAAGAAAUGGAGACACUGAGGGUAUAUUCCCCUUUCUCAUCCUACAUUGCUUGCCUAUCAUGGCAAAGUUUAAAGUACAAUAUUUGUAUAAUGUGCCUCUAGCCAUUUAUUUUGGGUUCAUCGGGAAUAUUUGAGAUAUCUUCUGAAUUGAAUUUUUCAUUUAACUCUUCUCAUUUAGAGAAAAUACUCCACAUUGAAGUUUAACCAAUGGUAUUUGGAAACAAGAGUCAAAACCUCCACAUUUUGCAAUUGUAUUGAACGUUAGAAUACUAUUUGAGUGACUCAUUGGAACAGCAGAGCCUAUAAUUUGUUGAUUUGACAUUUGUUUUAAGUAGCUGUGCAGUUGGCUGUUUCAUGCUUAUACAGUAUGUACUUGCAUCUAUGCUGUGCAAGCUUAUGUGUCUGUUUCAAUAUCUAAUUACACCGAUACCUAUCUCUGAUAACUCCCUUUCCUGGUGGGCGUGGAUGUAUAUAAACAUAGGCAUAUAUCAUAGUCUUUGGUGUAUAUAGAUCCAUACUUGUUUCUGCUUGAUUUUCCCCUCCCUUUGUGAACUUAGUUGAGCUAGUUUCUUGGUAGCGCGUAUACUUGCCAUUUGAUAUUUAAUUGUUGAUAUUUUAUUUCAAAAUUUGAUCGUUACUGUUAUAUUCUAAUUUCCAGAACUAUAAUGGGGACAAGGGAAUGCUUGGAAAGUGUGAACAGGUAUUCUCCUAUUUGACCUUAUAUGUGGGGAAGUACAAAUUUCUCUAAUUUAUGAGUAAUUAACUGGAUUAAAAAUACCUGUUUCAGUUUUUCCUGGAGCUGAUGAAGGUCCCACGAGUUGAGUCCAAGUUACGAGUGUUCUCAUUUACUAUCAGUUUUUCUAAUCAGGUAUUUGUCUUGUACUUGUUAGUGAGCAUUCUACCAUUCAUUUUUCUGUUGACUAUAAUCUGUUGAUUGUUCAGGUGAAUGACUUGAGAAGUAACCUGAGUACCAUUAAUGAUGCUACUAGAGAGGUAGUUUUAUUAAUACCUUAUGAAGUUUGAUUUGACACAUUCUUAUUUUAACUAGAUUCUAACUGCAUUUCUUGGUUGGUAGGUGAAAGAAUCUGCCAAAUUACGUCAGAUAAUGCAGACCAUUCUAACGUUGGGAAAUGCACUGAAUCAGGGUACAGCACGAGGUACAAAUUUCUAAGAUCUAAAUCUCCAUAAGAAAACAAUCAGUUGUUGGGUGGAGAUACUGUGACUAAUACCUUUGUUUUCAUAAUUACAUUGCAGGAUCUGCUGUAGGGUUCAAGUUGGACAGUCUUCUUAAGCUUUCUGACACUCGUGCUAGAAACAACAAAAUGACCUUGAUGCAUUAUCUGUGCAAGGUAGAACUACUGCGUUGUGAUACCUUUCUGUUUUACUUAUAUGUACUAAUAUUGAUCAAUUAGCUCCAAAUUGAGAAAAUUGAAGGUGACGUAAGCUUAAGUUGAAUUAAAUUAGUUUUUGGCUCAAUGAUGAUUGAGGAGUAGCUCAAGAUUGGAUUGAAAAAGUGCCAAGUUUAUUUGAGUUCUAUGUCAUGACCCAUCAAAAACUGCAUAGUUUUGUGCUUGAUACAAGGGCCGUAAGGUGGCCAUGAACGUGGCUAAUGUACAGGAGGCGAGCGCUUUCAAGGUGUCAAUAUUCAAAGUCAAACGAUUCUUUGUGCAAGUUUUAAUAAGAAAGUGAGGAAAUCGGGGGAUCGUUGCAUGAAAGCAUGGCUGGUAGGCGUGGUAUUUUUGGGUCAAGAAGAUACUACGAAGAUGAAGCAUGCACGAGGUGUGGCGAAGAAGCACAAGUGGGAGCCAUAGUGCACAAGAAAUGUUUACAAACAUAAGUGUGGCAUGAUGCCCAUCAAAGUCAUGGAUGGGAAUAAUGGAGAGGAGCAAGCACUUUCAAGGUUUCGACAUUCAAGUUCAAGUGAUUCGUUGUUUAAGUUUAAUAAUAACAGAAAGGAAUUGGAACCGUUGCAUGGAGGCAUGACUGGUAUGGGCGAUAGUGUUGGAAGUAGAGGAUGUUCCAAUGAUGGAGCAUGCACGAGACGUGGUGAAGCACAAGUGGGAGCCAUAAUGCAAGCAAGGCUCAUAACAUAAUUAUGGCAUUGGUUCGGCAAUGCGGACACAGGUGGUGCAUGGCUGUCGUCAGCUUGUGCCAUAAGGUGUUGGGUUACGUCUCGUGAUGAGCGUAAUCCUCGUGUUCCAGGCAAAAGCAAGGUAGAUGUGCUAGGCUUUAGAAUGCUUGGUAGUACACUGUAGUUUGGGAAUUACUAGAACUAUUGGUGGGUUGCUUGAUCCAUAUUUUUUACAAGGAAGAGAUUACUCCAGCAAAAGAGGUUGAGAAGACAUUUGAUUUUAAGGUGUCGUUUAAGCAUAUCUAAAUACUACACAUGCCACUAACACUUUAAAGCUUCUUGAUUCAUACUUGUCUAAGUGUAGACGCUUGCUUGAGUCGAGUCACACCCAAGGGAAGCUAAACAUAGCAUCUAUUUGUUGGGGAUAGUUUGGCUAAGUGAUGCACCAAACCUAGCGUCUAUCGUUAGUUUGUAUCUUUCCUGUGAUACAACUUAAUAACACACUUAUCAAUGUUUCUCAUGGCAUUUGGAGAGAGAGUGCAUUUGCUUUGCUAGCCUGGCGGAGAAAAGUGAGAAAAUAAAAAAGAAGUAAAAUAGACAGUAAGGGGAGAAAUUUGGAAAUUUGGUUAUCAGUGACGAAAAUAUCAAGUUAGAAACAACUUUAGACACUCAUCACUGAUGAAACUAGAUUACAGCAUGAACAAUGAUGAAAGCAAAGAACUUAUGAGGAAGGGUUGGAGAGAGAGUGGUGCUGGAUGGAUGAUGGAGAUUGCUAGUCAGGAUGAAGACUGCUCUGCAAGAAGUGGUUAUAGCUAUGACAGCAGCAAGAGAAAGGUUGUCUAUAAUAUUCAUGCCUCUUCUGUGGCUUUUGUAUCAUCUGAGUUUAUCCCACUUUAAUGACAAAUGUGGAGAGAUUCCAAAGAUGAUAUAGACUAAUAAUCAGUUGCCGUGGAGGUGGAGAGAGGAGGGGGUUAUUAAUAGAUGCAAUAGGGAAUCAAGCAUAGCAAUUUGGGAUCUGGAUUCUAUAAUGGAGCGUCAAGCUGGGGUUGACCAUAUUUAUGUUUUCUUAUGUCUUAACUCUUCUCCAUGUAUAUGUUUGCACUUUCCGAUGUGAUGCCAAUAUGUAACUGUUCUUUUUUUUUUUUUUUUGAAUCAGCUCCUUGCUGAGAAAAUGCCAGAGUUGCUUGAUUUCGACAAGGAUCUUGUUCACUUGGAAGCUGCCUCUAAGGUACCCUUGCUAUAUAUUAUGGUCUUCACUUGGAGUACUACUAGUAUAACAGUGAACUGAAAUGUUUGUUUACGUCGUAUUAUGUGGUUAGAUCCAACUGAAGUCUUUGGCUGAAGAAAUGCAAGCAGUGAGCAAAGGUCUUGAGAAAGUUGAACAAGAACUUACUGCAUCCGACAAUGAUGGUACAAUAUCUUCAGGCUUUCAGAAGGUGAGAAAAGAGAAUGGUAACUUAUAUUCCUAGUUACCCAAUGAUUAGCUCAUUGCAUUUACUUCCAAGUUUAUGUUUCUUUUUAGAUUUAAAUUUUAGUUGUUUUAAGGCCAUUUGGCAAUGUACCUUAAUUUUAUUUUGUAGAAAGCGUAUUCUAGUUUGCACAUGAUUCAGUCUAUUCUACCCAAAGUGAACCUAAAUUUCUCUAAUUAUGUCAUAAGAUCAUAAAUUGCAAUUUCUAAAUGUAUUAACUGAUUCUCGUGAUUUUUACGAUAAAAGUGAAGUAAAUGGCAUUGUGCGAUUUCCACUUUCCCAAGUUUCCUUCAUUAUACAAGGAUUCCUAUUUACUAUUUAAAAGCUUUAUUCUGGAUAUUUUUUAGAAGACAAAGUAAGGAAGCAGUGUAUCACUGAUAUAGAGAGAUACGUGUCCUGAAUGGAUGACAUUUGUUUCUAAAAAUCCAGUUAAGAGGCUUGCACCGGGAAGACCCCAAUUUGGUUUAUGUUGGACCCAAUAUUAGAGUGCAGUCUGACUAGUGAUGCAGUCAAACUUGAUUGCAAUAUGAAAUAUGCGUUUAGUGACUUGUACAUUCCUUCUCAGGUGUUAAAGAAUUUCCUUGAUACUGCUGAGGCUGAAGUCAAGUCUCUCACUACUCUUUAUAUUGAAGUGGUGAGUUUACUUGCAUUCGUUUUAUCAUAUUUUAAAUGCUCUUGGAAGUGUAACUCAUGCCAAGUUUGCUAAUUUUUUCUAUCUUGUAAAUCUGCAGGGAAGGAGUGCAGACUCCUUAUCCCUGUAUUUUGGCGAGGAUCCAGCUCGAUGCCCUUUUGAGCAAGGUUAGAGAUACAGAUGUUAUAGGUUUUCUUGCUGUAUUAUCACUUAUCAUCCAUAUGGUAGGAUUUCUGGAAAAGAAAAGACUGCAGUCGUUUGGCUGUUUAGCAAUACUCUCGGCAAUAUAGCUUGUAGUAGUCUGUCUUUAAUGUGAAGGUUAUGGGAUGCACCAUUUAUGGCCUUUGUGGCAUUUGUCAAGUGCAUAUUGCCAUUUGACUAGAUUUCUCGAAUAGCAUUUGUCCUGUGGAUCUUGUUUAUUUAGUUCAUUUACCAUUUAAUCCUGAGUUUUAUACUAUACCAAUGUGAAAAUUUCUUCAACACAAUUUUCCUUUGCCAACUCUUUAACCGGUCUUUAUUUUAAAUCUUUGGUUGAUGUUAGUGACAAGUUCUGAUGUCCUUCAUACCUUUACUUGCUGGAUGCAGUGACACAGAUUUUGGUGGUCUUCAUGAAGUUGUUUAAAAAAUCACGUGAUGAGAACGAACAAGCAGCUGAUGCUGAAAGGAAGAAACUAGAGAAGGAAGCGUUGAAGGAACAAGCGGCUGCUAGUUCUUCUGGAAAGAAAGAAGUAGUUGAUGCUGAUAGAAUUAAACUGAAUUUUCGGAAUCAGUUACAUGCUGUGUGAGCAGUUCAAAUUGACCGAAGCUUAUAGUACUCACUAUAAGCUCUGCCAGAUUACGCGAAAAAACAGAAAAAGUUACAUUCUUGAUGAUAGCAGCGGCCUUGGGAGGCUGCUCAUAUGCCACUGGACUUCAGUGUACUAUUUAAGUUUUAUUGAUAGUUACAAAUGUACAUAAUUACCAUAGUUUUACUGGCAGUAUUUUUUUUGCCAUUUAGUAGCGUGCACAAUUGCCAUUGUUACUCCGUUCUUGUAUCCUGAAGUGGAAAAAACUGAGACCUCUUAGAGAGGCUUUUCCAGUUGUAUAUAUUAAAGUUCCAUCUUGUACAAGAUAAAUUCAAGAAAAACUUUUCUGGAGUGGCAGAUCUUUGCAAUUAUGAAUUUUGUACUGAAGACCAUUUAAUUUAAUAGCAAUGGAACUGUUUAGUGCUAAUGCAUACACAAGGAAUGUUAUCUUUAGAUGACCAUUUUCAUGAAAUUAAAAUUCAAUGCUUGUUCUAAAACCAAUACAAGCAUUAUGAGGGGUUCACUAUGGGCAUUUUUAAUUUAGUUUUAGUUCACAUCUAUGGCCACCAACUUUGGAAGUGCACAAGUAGACAUUUAAACUUGUAUAAAAUUGAACAAAAAGGCACACAUCCUAUUUGACGUAAGUAUCUAUUUAUACACAUCCAAAGUUGGAGAACAUAAAUGCAAGUUGAAGCCAAUUUAAAAGGCAUAUUGCCUUCUUUAUAUAAGAACCAAACUCUCUUGCUGGAAGGCUAAGUUCCUGAACCAAGCUGGAGGAACUGUUGUAGCCACCUUAGGAAGCAUCCCUUCCCAUGUCAUGCAGUACAUAAAAUACACUUCUAAAGUCACUAAUAUGACCAAUAGAAUCCAAAGGAAUUUUGUUCGAGGCACUACUGUUGAAAAGAAAAAAGAUUCAUCUGGUUAACUGGAGUACCAUCACCAGGAAAAAAAGAUAGAAAGUGGGCUUGGCAUCCAAAGAAGUGAAAUAAAAAACAAAGGAGGCAAGUCUUGCUUGGAUACUUCAUAACAAACCCAUUCCUUAUGGGGAAAGAUCCUCAUUAAUAAAUAUAAAAGUCCUAACAGAAGUAGUAAUGGAGCUAGGAUCAUCUCAAAAACUUGGCAAUGCGCGCAACAAGGAUAGAAAGACUGUGACACUGCCCACAAAUGGGUUCCAUACAAGGGGGUUAAAAUCACAUUUUUUAGUGGUAGUCCACACUUUCAUUAGGAAUAUGAUUCAUGGACCUUUAAAAGAUGGAGAGAAAAACCUAAUCAUUUCCAAUCCCCGCUCUAACAGACAAUGAAAUCUUUUCAACUUAUCCUUUAAGCUGCCUAGAGACAUCACUUCCCUUAUCCACUUUUCCUUCCUAUUGAUAGCUCUCAAAUUGAUAAGCUAAUAUGGGGCUUAACUAGUAAGGGGAUCUUCACCACUAGCAGUGCCUGCAAUCUCAUUAAUAAUGCAACACAUCCUCUGAGUGGAAAUGAAGGGCAAUACAAAGAUAUCUGACAUUCCAACUGUCCUAACAAGAUUAAGCACUUUCUUUGGCUCCUCUCUCACAAAAGGCUCCCCACCAACCUCUUAUCUCCACAUAAUUGAUGUUAAUAUUAAUCCUACCUGUAAAUUCUAUGAGAUGCAUAUCAUGAGGAUAUAGAUCAUCUCUUCUUUCAAUGCACCAAUUCCACUAGAUUUCGGGCAACAAUUGCUAAGAACAACAACAACACACAACCCAUUUGCACCUCUGGUAUUACAUUUAACAACUGGAUAACCUCUUAGAAAACCCCUAGAGGAAAACCUGAUAAUAACUGGCUAACUUAGGAUGUUGUUCUCUUUUGCCUAUGGAACAUUUGGCUCGCAAGAAAUAGCGACUUGUUCAACAACAAGAAAGAUGCUAUGUCUGUUGAUGAUACCAUAGCUCAAGCUACUGAAUUUCAACUUCUAGCAAGCAAUCACCACAACUCUAAAACUCCCCAAAUCACCAUCCAAGUUAUGUGGCAACCCCCCUAUCUUUGGCAAUUACAAAUUAAAGAGUACUGAUGCAACAUUGCAUCACAAUCCAGAAUUCGGAGGCUUGGGAGGUGUGACCAGAAACUACAAUUGGGAGUGAUCACAAGCUUCAUAGAUAACAUUCACAAUGUCACCCCUGCCAUCGCUGAACUCCAUGACUCAGAAGGGGCUUCCGGUUAGCAAUUUAGCAAAACCUCUAACCACUGGACAUUAACAUGGAUUCUAUGAAGCAAUUUUUAUGAUUGAAAUGAGCCAUUUGCCUCAUAAUAGCUUAAUAUUUGAAUGCUGGUCAUUAAUAGAAAAGUUGGGGGUAGUGCAACUGGUGCAUGUGUACAGGAAAAGGAACAAGGUAGCAGGCCUGCUAACGAAAAAAGGAGCAAGGAUGUCCAUGAGGGAGAACCCAUCCAUUUUGUUAGUUCCUCCAGUGUCUGCACUAGCAAUACUUGGCGCAGACACUCUAGGAACUGAAUAUUCUAGGAUAAUUUUGGCUUUUAUAAGUUCUUUGUAGCUAGGUUGUCUUUGAUUUUGUGAAGUGAUGUUGUUAGCAUUUUAAUAUUAUUAUUUUUUAAUAUUAUUAUGCAUGUCUUUGACGUUAUGCAACAUUUACCACCAUUUUAUUGACAAAAAAUGUUACAAGUCAUAUACCUCAUAUUAGUGUUACAAUGCAUGGUUUUGACGUUAGCAGCAUUUACUAUCAUUUUAUUGAAAAAAUGUUACAAGUCAUUUAUCUUGUUAGUGGACAAUAAUGUUACAUUAGACUUUGUAACUUAACUCUUUAUUCCUCCAUUAUCCUACACUUUAUGACUUAUAAUUUCUUGUAACUCUUGUAACCCUUGUAACUCUUGUAAUUUUUAUGUCAUUCAUCUACUAUAUUUAUCUUUCUAUUCAUUGCAAGGAAGAUUUCUUCCCCUAUAAAUAGAGAUGAUCUUGCAUAUUUUUAGGACACACAAGAUAAUAUAGAGUUUACAAAAGAUAGUAAAAAAAAGAUUCAUUAGUUGAAGGGAGGUGUUUUCUUUGUGGAGCUUGAAAACUCUUGUCCAGAGUUGUUGAGUUGUACUUUGUGAGAAGGCUGUUGUAUCCUGGAGGGGACUAGUCAAGAAAAUUACUACUGUACCGGUGAAAUAAUUUUGCUGCAAUGGGUUUGAAUCCUUAAAGAGAGUGAGAUAUCCGCGCCUUAGCCGAAGAAGAAGAAGAUAACUUUUUAUUUUUCUCUACUUGUAAUGUUUUCAAUUGUAAUAUCACCAAUAAUUUUAAGGAGAUUCAAUGGCAACAACUGAAAAAUUCGUGGAUGUCAAGGUGAGAGAUCUCAACAAGCCAUUCCGGUUCAACGACACUCAUUUCAACAGGUGGAAGGAUAAAGUACUUCUCUACUUAAAUCUUCUCAAUAUAUCUUAUGUGUUAACUAAGAAGAAUCCAAACAAAGUAGAUAACUCUUCCAUGACUCAUAUGUACUACUUUAAAUAAAACAUAUGCUACAAUAUAUAUACGUACCAUUCAAUAUAUGUACUACUUUAAAUAAAACAUAUGCUACAAUAUAUGUACUACAAUAUAUACAACACUAAAUAUAUAGUUAUAUACUAAUUUAUAAAACAUGUACACAUGUAUACGUUAAAUAUAUACUACUUUAGUGCCUAUAGAAGAUAUAUACACAUAUAGAUGUACCAUUCAAUAUACGUACUACUCUAAAUAAAACAUAUGCUACAUUAUAUACACACACUAAAUAUAUAGUUAUAUACUAAUUUAUAAAACAUAUACACAUGAAUACGUUAAAUAUAUACUACUUUAGUGCCUAUAGAAGAUAUAUACACAUAUAGAUGUACCAUUCAAUAUACGUACUACUCUAAAUAAAACAUAUGCUACAUUAUAUACACACACUAAAUAUAUAGUUAUAUACUAAUUUAAAAAACAUAUACACAUGUAUACGUUAAAUAUAUACUACUUUAGUGUCUAUAGAAAAUAUAUACACAUUUAUACGUACCAUUCAAUAUGUGUAGUACUUUAAAUAAAACAUGCUACUUAAUAUAAUAAACUAAUAAUACUUGAUAGUAAAUUAGUAAUAUAUUAAAACUAAUUAUUUAAUUUAAACUAAAAAUUAAAUUUAAAUCAUUAAAUGAAAAAAAUUACAAAGUAAGGACUAAGGAGUGAAUGAAUGUUAUAUUUUAUUGAUUGCAAAAUGAUUCAAAAUUUACAAUGUACAUGAAUGAAAAAAUCUACAAAGUUCUCAUCAUUUUAUUCAACUCAUCCAUGUUAAUAUUAACGGGAACUUGCAUAGGAUAGUCAAAGCCAAUGGUGGCAAAACCAUGCAUUGGACUUGAUUCCAUUGAGUUCUCCGCUAAAGUCAUAAUUUGUUCAAGUUUCUGUUCGUUUUUCGGCUCCACCUCCAUUCCUUGAUUUCUUCGUUCUGCUCUAAUCCAAUCUCUAAGGCAAACUAGAACAUUCAUAGACUUAUUUCCUAAUAAGUGUCGGUUGUCUCCAAGCUGUUGUCGUCCCUGCCUAAAAGCGCUCUCCGAUGCAACGGUUGACAUUGAAACAUUCAAUAUAUCUCUAGCUAAUCUUGAAAGCACAGGAUAUAGUGUUUCAUUUUUUCUCCACCAAUCUAAGUUGAUCCGUCGUCUACGAUCCUCUAACGACGUCCGAAGAUAAUACUUAAGCUCUUCCCGAUAAGUUGAUGUGUAAGCUCCCCCCUCAACACUGUUCCAACAAUUUAAAUUAAAAAAAUGAUAAGGAAAAUCACUAUGUGUCGGCCUAGCUUUUAGAAGAUGAUGAAUCCUCGAGAGGAUGAGGAGCGACAGUUGGAGUGAUAUUUUUCGGUAUAGCUAAAUCAAGUAAAUCAGUAUAAUGGUUAUAUAAUUUAUCUAUGGAAGUGUUCGCAUCACCCAUAGCCGUCCACAAAUCAGGUUGUUCUUGUUCACCAUCAGAAUCAUUGUUAGUAUUUAUCUCUAAGUUAGAAUAAAUAAGAGUACUAAAGUUGCACAUAGUAGUAUAUUUCAUACACAGAUUUAGCAUAACACCAACCACGUAAAUAGAAAAAAUAAAAAAAAAUAUUUUUAAAAUUUUGCAAACAUAGCACCAACAGUUUUUUUGUAAACUUUUUUAUUCUUAUAUUCUUUGAGCAAACCAGAAAUAUCGGCUGUGUAUGCUAAAAUAUUACAAACAGUAGGAUAAAAAACACCGAAAAAUUCAACCGUAGCUAUAUAAGAUUUUUUUUAAAACUUAACAAGAUCAUCAAUUACAGCCCAAUCAGAAUCAUGUAGCAUUCAUUCAACCGAAUCAACAAAUGAACCACAAUGUUGGUUAAAAGUUAGUGUAAUAGGAACUCUAUAUUUAUAACAAGUUUUUAAAAAAUCAUACAUAGCAUUUCAUCUAGUAUCACAUUCUUCGGGCAUCAAUAUCGGUGCAGGUUUAUUUUGUUCACAUUUAACUUUAAAUUCUUUAAUUCUUGAUCUUCGAUUAUUUACUUGAAUAAAAUCAACAUCAAGAUGGAUUUUUUUAAUAUAAAGCUCAAAAAACUCAAGACCAUCUCUUACAAUUAAAUUAUAUAUAUGACAAGCACACUUAACAUGAAAUAUUUCAGGUAACAACGAAGAUAGCUUAGCUUUUAACUUUGUAAUAGCAGUCUUGUUGUUAGAAGCAUUAUCAAAAUAAAUACAUAAGAUUUUAUUUUCAAUACCAUAAAAUUCUACAACUUUAUCAAUAGAUUCAGCAAUAAAAUGUCCAGUAUGUUUACGAUCUUCAUCAUACAAAAAAGCUAGAAUACGUUUUUGCAUAACAAAAUUACUAUCUAUCCAGUGACAAGUAAUGGUUAAAUAAUUAUUUUUAUUAAUAGCACAACCAAGAUAAGAAGUUAGAGCCAUUCUACAUUGAAUAUUUUUUAACAAUGUAGAUAAAUAAAAAUAAUAUUGUGAAUUAAGUCUAAAAAUAUCAGUCCGACAAGUACUUUUAGGAAUAUCAUUAAACAUAGGAUUAUAAAUUGCUUGAAUAUAAUGAAUAAAAGCAUCAGAAGAAGGAAAACUAAAAGGCAAACAACCCACAACUACCAUUUUUGCUAUUUCUUCCCGGUCCCUCAAUUUAUUAUACUUCUUAAUUAUUUGACCGGUUGCUGGGUCCAUUCUAGUUUGUGUUGGCCCACCAACAGCCUCACCGCCUUGUGCAAUAUUUAACUCUCUUUCGUAAUUAUCACCUAUAUGUCUCAUUAACGUACCCGUACCCCUUGCUUGCCUCUUCUUUUAUGCUUAUAUAUUUGUUGACAAAUAUUGCACCUCAAUAUCAGAUAUACGUUUCAAAAAUUGUCAUACAAUACUAGUUGUUUUACUAGCUCUUGGGGCACGGGAAGGGCGAUUAACCGAUUCAGAUCUAAUAUUAGCAUUUCCUAUUGCGGGUGUCUCACCAAUACUUUCAUCAUCUUCAUCUAAAUCAACCGCAUCUACUUCAUUUUCUUCUUGUAUACCGUAAUUUUUCUGAACUUCUACAUAAUCCAUAUCGUGAGCACCUACACCUACUUCUUCCUCAAAAGGUUGACUAAGCGGUACCGGAGGCACACAGAUAUAUCUACUACUUGAACUACCUCUACUGCCAGUAAUUCAUUUUUUACUACCACUACCACUUUCGGGACAAUUUUUUUUACACUUUUAGAGGCAAAGUUUCUUAAUUUAUCCAUAAUAUAAAUCAAACUAAAAAAAAUUAAAAUACAAAAAUAUAAUAAAAUUAAAUAUUCAACAAUUAAUACACUAAUUAAAAAUUAAAAGUAAGAGAUAGAACGACAAUAGCAAAUUUUGAAAGUAUUCAAAAGUUACGACUUUAGAAACUUCCACUCGUACUUUGUAAUCGCAAAAUUAAAAAAUUAAAUUGAACACUUUAUAAUAUAUAUAGAAUAUUUGAAUUUUGAGAAUUGAGAUUUGAGAGAAUGAAAAUUGUGUGGAAAAUGAUUUGAAAGUGUAGGGUAUUUAUAGGAUUUUGUUUGGGUUUAAAAAAAAUAUUUUAAAUAAUUUUUUUUUAAUAAAAAAUGGCCAUAUACCUGUUUUUGGGCUCCAAACGGUCAUAUAGACGUUGGGCCCAACGACUAUAAUGGCCCAACGGUCUAAUUUUAAAAAAAAUUAUUUUUUUUUUAAAAUUAUAUUCGGGCUGAUUAACCGGCGGGCUUGGACCGGUUUUGGUCAGGGUCGGGUUAAUCGGGCCCAAUUUUAAAAUUGCCCUAGCCCAGGACUCGGUACCCUACAAUUCGUGGAUUGAUCGGGCUGAGUCAAAUCGGGCCGGGUUGUAUUAGUGGGCCGAUUUGGGCCAGGUCAAACUGGCCCGUUUGACAGGUUUAAGAUAAACUUCCUCCUUCUUGGAAGGAAUUUCAAGAAACUAUGUAGCACAAACAAAAGGAAACUUCUCUUGAGAUUUUGAUAAUGAGAAUCCGCAUGGAAGAAGAGGCAAGAGACCAAGAUGCACUUUUGCAAACAGAAGAGAACAACAUCACACCGAAGGUAAAUUUAACUUCCUAAAAAAAUGUUGCCCCUGAAACUAACAAAAAUACUACUUUGAAGCCUAAGAAGAAAAAAUUCAAUAAAAAUGAUGGCAGAUAUUUCAAAGACAAUAAUAGUGGAAACAACCAAGCAAAAAAUUAACAUGUACAAGAAAAAAGAUCGUGCUUUGUCUGUGGCAAGAGUGGGCAUAUUGCUCGAUUUUACAAAUUUCAAAAAUGUGGGCCUACACCUCAGGCAAACGUUAUCGAAGAACCAUUUGUAGAGGUGAUAACAGACAUAAACAUGGUGGAGAAUGUUGAUGGAUGGUGGGUUGACUCUGGUGCAAACCGUCAUGUCUUUUGUAACAAUGAUUGGUUUAAAAAAUAUACUCCUUUUGAGGAGCCGAAAACCAUCAUGCUUGAAGAUUCACACACAACUUAGGUACUUGGAAUGGGAGAUGUCGAGUUGAGUUUUACUUCUGGAAGGAUAUUAAUAUUAAAAUAUGUACUUUAUACACCUUCCAUAAGAAAAAAAUUGAUGUCUAGUUUUCUUCUUAAUAAAGCAGACUUCAAACAGAUUAUUGAAUCUAACCAAUAUGUAGUUGUGAAAAAUAAUAUUUUUGUGGGAAAGGUGUAUGCAUGUGAUGGUAUGUUCAAAUUAAAUGUUGAAAUGAAUAAAACAUCUACUUCUAUUUAUAUGCUUUCUUCUACUAAUUUUUGACAUGCUCGUUUGUGUCAUAUAAAUGAUCGUUAUGUGGGAAUCAUGAGUAGUUUAAGAUUAAUUUCAAUGAUCAAAAAGAAUUUUGAAAAAUGUGAAACUUGUAGUAAAACCAAACUUACAAAAAGGCCUCAUUUUCAAGUUAAAAUAAAAACUGAUUUAUUAGAAUUAACACAUACUGAUAUUUGUGAACUUGAUAGAAUUUUAACCCGCGGAGGAAAUAGAUAUUUUAUCACUUUCAUUGAUGAUUUUUCUAAUUUUACAUAUGUUUACUUUAUGAAAAAUAAAAGUGAUGUUUUUGAGAAUUUUAAAACUUUUCUCCACGGAGUUGAAAAUCAGUUUAGUAGAAAAAUAAAAAGAAUAAGAAGUGAUAGAGGUCGUGAAUAUGAGUCUAAUGAGUUUAAUUCUUUUGUUAGAUCAUUGUAUAUAAUUAAUGAAACUCCUCUUCCUUAUUCGCCCGCAUCUAACGAUGUAGCGAAAAGAAAAAAUAAAAUUUUGAUUGAGUUAACUAAUGUCAUGUUAAUUGAGUCUAGUGCACCUUUAACUUUUUGGGAUGAAGCUCUUUUGACUGCUCGUUAUGUGUUGAAUCGCCUGCCUCAUAAAAAGACCAAACUAAAACCUUUUGAGUUGUGGAAAUGUCAUAAGCAAAAUUUAGGAUAUCUUAGAGUUUGGGGUUACUUAGCCUAUGUAAGGUUAAUGGAUCCUAAAAUCUUUAAGUUGGGUAAAAAAAUUAGUACUUGUGCUUUUCUUGGUUAUGCCUCAAAUAGUACAACCUAUAAAUUUUUUAAUCUUGAAGAUAGUGUUAUAAUAGAAUCAGGUGAUGCUAUUUUUCAUGAAAAUAUUUUUUUUUUAUUUUAAAAAUAGUGGAGGUCAAAGGACUGAAGAAAUAUUUUGUCACUACCUAGUUCUUCUGCUUCUACUUUGAAAAAUAAAGAAAAUGAUGCUUUUGAGUUAAGAAGAAGUAAAUGAGCUAGAGUAAAAAAAGAUUUUGAUCCUGAUUAUUAUGUUUUUAACGUUGGAGAAGACUCUCUCACUUUAAAAGAAGUUGUCUUCACAUGAUGCUAUUUUUUGGAAAGAGAUUGUAAAUGAUGAAAUAGAAUCACUAAUUUCCAAUAAAAUAAGGAAGCUAGUUGAUUUACCUCUGAGUUAUAAAACAAUUAGAUGUAAAUGGGUCUUACGUAAAAAGUUAAAAUCGGAUGGACCUGUUGAUAAAUACAAAGCUAGGCUAGUGGCUAAAGGUUUUAAACAACAAGAAGGCCUAGAAUUUUUUGAUAGUUUUUCCCCGGUAACUAGAAUUACAUCCAUUAGACUUUUAAUUGCUAUUGCGGUAAUUUUUUAUUUACAAAUUCAUCAAAUGAAUGAAAAAACUAUUUUUUAAACGGAGAUCUAAAUGAGGAGAUUUACAUGAAACAAUCCGAAUGUUUUGUUGAAGCUGGUCAAGAAAGCAAAGUGUGUGAAUUUACUAAAUCCCUAUAUGGCUAAAAACAGGCACCAAAGAAAUGACAUGAAAAAUUUAAUUCCUGCAUGAUUGAUAAUGGAUUUAAAACAAAUGAGUGUGACAAAUGCAUAUAUCAUAAGUCUUGAAAUAAUUCACAUGUUAUUAUUUGCCUAUAUGUUGAUGAUUUAUUGAUCUUUGGCUCUAACAUGAAUGUUAUUGGAGAGACUAAAAACAUUCUUAGAAGUUAUUUUGAUAUGAAAGAUCUUGGUGAGACAAAUUUUAUUCUAGGAAUAAAAAUUACUAAAACAUGUGAUGAAAUUUUUUUUGACCAGUCACAUUAUGUUGAGAAAAUUUUGAAAAAUAUAAUUUCCUUGAUUGCAAGCAUAUUGUAACUCCAUUUGAUUUUAGUGUUCACUUGUUUCCUGUUGAAAGUGAAAAUAAUGUUAUAAAUCAAAAGAAAUAUGCUAACAUAAUAAGAAGUUUGAGAUAUAUGACUAAUUGCACUAGACUUGAUAUUGCAUAUGCAGUAGGAGUACUUAGCAGGUUUACUAGCAAGCCAGGUAAUGAACAUUGGCAUGCUAUAACGAGAGUAAUGAGAUAUUUAAUUGAAACAAAAAAUUGUGGUCUGCUCUAUAAAAAAUAUCAUGUUGUACUUGAAGGCUUUUGUGAUGUGGAUUGGAACAAUUUAUCAGGUGAUUCCUUAUCUACUACUGAUUAUAUUUUUACUUUAGGUGGUGGUGCUAUUUGUUGGAAAUCUUAAAAGCAAAUAAUUAUUACUAACUCUACCAUGGAGGCUGAACUAAUUGCUUUAGCUUCAGCUAGUGAGGAAGCGAAUUGGUUGAGAGAUUUAUUAUUUCAAAUAUCUUAUUUUAAAAAAUCAAUUCCUCCUAUUUUAAUUCAUUGUGAUAGCACCACUGCAAUUGACAGAGUUUAAAAUCGUUAUUACAACGAUAAAUUCAAUCCUAUAGGGAGAAAAUACAGUAAUGUGAGAUCAUAUUUGACAAAUGGUACCAUUAAUGUUGAUUAUGUCAAAUCUUGCAAAUCCAUUGACUAAGGCCUUAGCAAGAGCAAAGGUCUGGAGCACAUCGAGGGAGAUAGGAUUGAAGCCUAUUGAAUCUUGAGUUAUAUAUGAGGAAACCCAACUUGAGGACUAGAGAUCCUAUAACUAGGUUCAAUGGGAAAAACGAAUCACAUGAUGACUUGUUGUAAAAAAUGCACUGCUUUGUUAUCCCUCCUUAUGGUGUGAGUACAUUUUCCUGUAAUAGUUGUGAGGUUGAGUUUAUAAAACUCUUGAUGAAAAUUUGUAUCUCGUAUGAUUUGGGUGCUAAAUUACAAGAGCACUCUCGACAAAUUUCACCUAUGUGAGUGUGGAGGUAGGCCGCUUCCUAUGAGAUUUAGGAUCGUCCUCAAAGACACUCAUGAAACCGGGAUAGCAUAAGACCGUAACGUGCUGGCUAUAAAGCUCAUGUCAACACCUUGACUAUUAUGUGUAACCAGUAACUUUUUAUUUCUUUAAGUAGUUAUAGUUUAAGUCUGAGACCAUUACGACUUUGGGGUAAAAAUUAUUGUUUUACUAAGUAAAGGUUCAAUGCAGAUCACACCUUCAUUAUGCAUGGUGAUCUUCCUUCAGCUAGUGGACUCUCUUGUGUUAAUAUUAAAAUGAGUGGAGGAUUUGUAUUGUUGGAAUUUUAAUAUUAAUAUUUUUUAAUAUAAUUAUGCAUGGCUUUGACUUUAUGCAACAUUUACCACCAUUUUAUUAGUAAAAAAUGUUACAAGUCAUUUACCUCAUGUUAGUGCAAAAGAAUGUUACAAUGCAUGGUUUUGACGUUAGCAGCAUUUACCAUUAUUUUAUUGAAAAAAUGUUACAAGUCAUUUAUCUUAUGUUAGUGGACAAGAAUGUUAUAUUAGACUUUGUAACAUCUUUAACUCUUUAUUCCUCAAUUAUCCUACACUUUAUGACUUAUAAUCUUUGUAACUCUUGUAAUCCUUCCAAUUCUUGUAAUUUUUAUGCCAUUCAUCUACAAUAUUUAUCUUUCUAUUCAUUGUAUGAAAGAUUUGUUCAAGUAUAAAUAGAGGUGGUCUUGCUUAUUUUUAGGACACACAAGAUAAUGUAGAGUUCACAAAAGAUAGUUAAAAAAAGAGUUCAUUAGUUGAAGGGAGGUGUUCCUUUUGUGGAGCUUUGAACUCAACUCUUGUCCAGAGUUGCUGAGUUGUUCUUUGUGAGAAGGUUGUUGUAUUUUGGAGGAGACAAGUCAAGAAGAUUACUGCUGGACCGGUGAAAUAAUGUUGUUGCAGUGAGCUUGAAUCUCAUUAAAGAGAGCGAGAUAUCCGCGCGUCAGCCGAAGAAGAAGAAGAUAGCUUUUUAUUUUUCUUCACUUGUAAUUUUUUUAAUUGUAAUAUUAUUGUAGUUUUUAAGAAUUUGAUGCAGCAGUAUCUACUGUUGAUAUUGAACAAGCUCUCAAAGUAAUAGUGAUAUAUAUAGUAAAUUACUAUUCUAUUUGUUGUUUUCUAAGGGAUGUGUCAAGUCAAACAUACAAGUAAAUAUAAGUGCUAAAAUCUAAUGACCAAAAAAAUAAAAAGAAGAAAAAACAAAAAGAGUAAUGAGUGUGCUAAAAUCCUACUGAUUUGUUUUAAUUUAUAAAAUUUUUUAAGUUUGAACUAAAUGUUGUUAGGAGAAAUUAAGAGUUUGUAUAAUUGAAAUAAUCGAUUUGUUAAUUUGUAGAAACUAAAGAGAAAUUAAGAGAAAUAUAUACUAAGUCAUAUAUAUAGAUAAAAUCAUUAAAAAAUCGUUAACUCAAUAACAAUAAACCAAUAACAUUUUUAUGAUUUGAUUUAUUGGUCAGUUCAUUUUUUUCACACCAUUGCAAAAAAAUUAGAAAGAAUAAAUUUUGAUUUUUUUCACAAAACCAAUAACAUUUUUAUGCUGGUUAUGACAUGUUUUGGCUUCCUCAAUGUUCUAGAUUUACAGGUAAAGCAGUGCGCCGCCACCUUAUUUCCUUCAAGCAAAUUUAGACAGGAAAUUGCAUGCCAUAGACCCAAAUAUGGGUGACUUUAGAUAUUUGACCCCAAAUAAGAAUGUCUUUGAAGAAUAGCCUUCCUUACUUUUUAAUAUACAAAAAGUACCAUUUUGCCCCUCUACACCUCAAAUAUAUUUUUAACCUUUCCAUACUCAUUUAUUUCUCAAAUUUUAUUUUUGUUAUUUUCAGUUUUUAAUUUUUCCUUUAUUUUUAUUAUUCUACUUUUUUCACUUUUUUUUUUCUUUAAAUUUAUUAUUGUGAUUUUUAUUAUUUUCAAUUUUUAUUUUUUCCUUUAACUUUAUUUUCAUAUUUUAAUUUAUUUGUCUCAACCUUUAUUUUUUUUUCUCUUUUCCUUUUUUUUCAACCAUUAUCUAUUUCUUCAUUUUUUUCCUUUUUAAAAUUUAUUUAUCUUUAAUCUUUAUUUAAAUUUUUUUAAAUUUGUCCUUUUUCCCCAGAUUUUCGUUAAUUAUUACUUCUCGUUCAUCUUUUUAUUUCCUCAUUUUCAAAAUCCUUUCUGUUGCUCCUCUUCCCCUUCAUCCGAUUUCUCUCAAAAUUUCAAACUCGAUUAACAAAAAAAAUGGAUGUUGCUUCUGAUGAAGAAAUAGAGCGCAAAUCUUCGGGACUUUUACCUUCAGAUUUAAUUGACAUCAUUGUUGAUGUUAGUUGCUACUAAAUUCAGUUUGUCAUUUACAUUUAUUUAAUCUUUUUGUGUGUUUUAUUGUUUAAUUGGGUAUUUAAAUCUCUUUUUGUUGUUUAUGUUUAAGGUUUUAACUCAUAAUACAAAUUUGUUGUAUUUUUGGGAGUUAUAUUUAUGAAUUUGUCAAAUUGGUGGUUGUACAGUUAAAAAGUUUUAAUUUUGGUAGUUAUGUGUUACUAAGUGAAUUUUGAAUAAUCCCACAUUCUUCAUUUCAUGUAAAAAGUAAAUCUUGAUUGAAAUCAAAAGUUUCAUGUUUCUAGAAAUCUUAGUAGCUCGGUUGAUUGACUAUUUGAACUUUGUGCUAUUGGAAAAUCUCAGUAGCAUAGUUGGUUUACCUGAAUUUUUUGCUAGCAGGAAACCUAGCAGCUCAGUUGGUUGUUGGCGAAACUUUUACCUUCUUGGUAAGGGUUCGGUUUCCCAUCUUGUAAUAUGCUAUCGCCAAUUGAAACAAAAUAGUUUUGUGCUACUGGAUUUGAGAUCUUUGAUAAUUUCUACUAGUACUAUGUAAUUUCUAUUGUGUCAACUUGGAGGUCUUGUAAUAGGCCUUUGCAAUGUGGAUAUCUUUAUUUUGCUUCUUAGAUGAUGGUUAGAUUUCUUUUGAUGAAAUGCACAUUUUUGUUUUGAUUUCCAUACUUGUGGGAUUACAAUGAAUUUUUUAUUAUUUUGAUCGUUGUAUUGGUUCAAAGAUUUGGGUUAGUAUGAAAGGUGAUAAAGAGCUUGUUGGUACACUUAGAGGCUUUGAUGUUUAUGUUAACAUGGUUCUUGAAGAUGUUACUGAAUAGUAAGUUUUUGUACAUAUCUUUUUUUCUUGCUUUUAGUUGUGUGGGGAAGUUGUUUUUGUUGAUUAUUUUGCUAUUGCUUUGUUAAAGAUUGUAACUUUACUUAAAAUUCCAUAGUUUUGGUCUUGUGUUUUUUAAUAUUUUAACUUUAGAGUUUUAGAAUGCUAAAGGAAGUGAGCAUGUUUUCAAUUGUAUGCAUUGGAAACAACCUCUCUAUCUCAAUGAGGUAGGGAUAAGAUCUACGUACACUCCUGUCACGCCCCAAAAUCCCAUCGGGCCGGACUGACAUCCGAAGCCGAGAAGGCCCGGGAGAACCCGUUCAAAUACCUGUACUUUCACUUAUAUGUCACCAAAAAUUUGGACAGCACUUCGUUGCAUAUAGAAGGGUCUAAUUACCUGUAUCAGCACAACACGCACAAAUAUAUAUAUUACGUAGCCGUCGGGGAGGAUAUACAUGACAUAACUAGGGUCGGGACAAACCCCCCCGCCCACACAUGACUCCUGUACAAUAACAAAACAUAAGGAACCGACUCGAAAAGCUCCGAAGCAAACUGGAGCUCACCAACAAUAACUGUAUGACCUGGCUCCUAUCUAUGCUGUGAAUGAGCUGGGGUACCUGUGCCUGCAGCAUGAAAUGCAGGUCCCCGUGGGGGACGUCAGUACGAAAUAUGUACUGAGUAUGUAAAGCUGUAGAUAAUCACAUAUGAUAUAGGAGCUCAAUAGAAAUCAGAAACAACUGAAUAAGUCGUAAUAGGAGUGGACCACACUUACUAGAACUUGUGACAACCUGUACAUUGUAUUUAUUCAAUCACUUUACCUUCGUUCUUAUCGUCUUUGUAAUCAUUACUGUACUGUACUGUGACCAUUAGGAUGCCUCCAGUACAUAUCAACUGGGAUCGACCCAUGCUAGGCUUAUGCCCCUGGGAUACCACCCAUAAACACAUAAAUAGGGAUCGACCCAUGCUAGGCUUAUGCCCCUGGGAUACCACCCGAUAAGAGAGAACUUCCAUCACUUAGUUCAAUUAAUCUUUGAGAUUGUUAUUUCGGUCGCCACCACAUUUUUGAUACUUUGAAACAAUGAUACAUCAAUAGGAACCAAGUAAUAGACCUUCUAUACAAUAACGAUGUAAUAAAGACUCAUUGGUACAUCAACAAUGUGUUUCAGAAUCAUCAAUAUCACAACAAUGAAAUAAGAGCCUUUUGGUAUAUCAAUGAAACAUUUUGACACUUUAUAGAAUGGAAACAACUUCGUUGGUAACGUAGAACAAUACAUGUUUUUGGACAACCUCGGAAUCUUACUUGAUGGAACAUUGGUGUUUUCAUGCCAAAGAACAUUGUUAGAGUAUGCUUUACAUACCUCGUUGUAGAUUCGGAUACCAAUUCAACACAACUUCCCGCCUUUACAAAUCACUUAUCUACAAUGAAAUGUUUGGCAUCUAGUAUUAGCAACCCAACACCACAAUUCUCUUCCAUAAUUCCAUACUACCAAUAUUUGCAAAACAUUCCAAAAACCAACUUGAACAAUAGGUUUAUGUGUGUAUAUAUAUAUAAUCAUCAUUUCAAUACCACAUCAUCAAUACCACAUCAUCACCCCAAAUUCCUUCACAAUUUAACAUAAUCCAACCAUGCACAAGAAUAAUCCAACAUCAUUUCCAAUCAUCUUUCAACAACAAUCAAAUAACAUACUUCUUAUGCUCACAUGCAUAUAUAUAUAUAUAUACAUAUCCAUAUAAAUAACACCAACAUAAUUUACAUCCUUACCAAAAAAAUGGCCCUUUUGAUUUCGAAGUCCUGUUGGCACAAAUAAGGGGUGCUUCUCGAAGCCCUUGAGACGGUGAACACAACUACGGAAUCAAUUUGGAUUUUCUACGGUUGAAUCACAAGAUAAUUGGAGUUGAAAUUUGGCUAGGGUUUCUUAGUUUUCAAUAAUGGAUGAUAAAUAAUGGAUAUGAGGCUAAGUAUAUGUAUAUAAUGACCAAUUUUCGUUCAAGAGGUGAUGGAAAAUGACCAUAUUGCCCUUAAAAAUUUAAGUAAAUCCGAAUCUGUCCAUGGUGGACUGUUUUGAUAGGCUAAAGUAAAUCGGCCAUAACUCUUUGCUCCGAUAUCGGAUUUGGGUGAAAUUGGUAUCGUUAGAAAGAUAAUUCAAAGGUCUUUCAUUUAAUAUAAAUUAAUCCACCCAGUUCGUCCUGUACAAGUAGUUAUGAUCGUUUGAAGUUGACCCUAAAAAUCUGUUUUGAGAGGCUGAAGUAAAACGAGUAUAACUCCUUACUCAGAUGUUGGAUUUGGAUGAAACCAAUUUCAUUGGAAAGAAGACUCAAAGAUCUUUCUUUUGAUAUAUGGUAGCUCAACCAGUUCAUUAUAUUGAGGGAGUUAUGAUCGUUCAAAGUUGACCCAAAAAACUGGCAGGCCUCAGUAGUUUCCUGCACAUUUUACUGUUCACAUCCCGGCGGGCAUAUUCCGGUAUAAAUAAAAUAAAAAAUUAAUUCCAUAUAAAUAAGACCAAUACACGUACUUGAAUACGCCAAUACAUGUACUUGAAUACGGGGUGUUACAACUCCACCCUCGACAGACCUACUUGUGGGACUUCACUAGGAGUGUUGUUGUUGUACAAAUAAGAGAAAUAUGGUUUAGCGGCGUUUUAUUGAUAAUUUUUGCCAUUGCUUUGUCAUAGAUUAUAAUUUUAGGAUUUUUAAAUGCUAAAAUUUUUUAACAUGUUUUCUACUGUGUGCAUUGGAGCCGAGAUUGGUAUAAGUACUGCAGUUUUGUAUUGUCUUUGGCAUUGUUCGAAUUUGCUGAGUUUAAGAUUGCAAUCUAUGUACUAAUAGGAUCAGAAACAACCUCUCUAUCUCUAUUAAAUAGGGAUUAGAUCUACCUACACUCUACCCUCGAUAGUCCCACUUGUGGGAUUUUAUCGAAAAUGUUGUUGUUCUACUAAUAAGAGAACUGGGGUUUAGCAUAUUUCUAUUGAUAAUGUUUGCUCUUGCUUUGUCAAAGAUCGUAACUUUAGGAUUUUUGAAUGCUAAAGGUUUUUAGCAUAUUUUCCGUUGUGUGCAUUCGAGCCGAGAUUGGUAUAAGUACUACCGUUUUGUAUUGUCUUUGGUGUUGUUUGAAUUUGCAGAGUUUAGGAUUAUAAUAUGUGUACUAAUAAGAUUGGAAACAACCUCUCUAUCUCUAUUAAAUAGGGAGUAGAUCUAUGUACACUCUACCCUCGACAGUCCCUCUUGUGGGAUUUCACCGAAAAUGUUGUUGUUGUACUAAUAAGAGAACUGGGAUUUAUCAUCUUUUUAUUGAUCAUGUUUGCUAUUGCUUUGUAAAAGAUUGUAACUUUAAGAUUUUUGAAUACUAAAGGUUUUUAGCAUGUUUUUCAUUGUGUGCAUUGGAGUCGAGAUUGGUAUAAGUACAGUAGUUUCGUAUUGUCUUAGGCGUUGUUUGAAUUUGCUGAGUUUAGAAUUACAAUCUGUGUACUAAUGAGAGAAUUGGGGUUUCGGCAUCCUAUAUAGUUAAAAAAUAUUCAAGAAUAAAGUCAUGAAUUUUUUGUGAAGUUUGACCAGACAUUAUUUUAUAAUGUGGAAUUGGGAAGUUUUGAAUGUUGGUCUCAAAUCCAUGUUCUUCUAGUGAGUUAAAUAAGUGAUACAUGUUCUUUUUGAUAUCUUACCCUAGUACAUCAUAACAAUUAUUGGAUUUUGUUAUUGCAGAGCUAGAAAUUAGGCACCACCAUGUUGAAAUAGUAAAGUAAUGUAUGGUCAACUUCGUAUAUUCUUGUAAGUAAACUCAUCUAUUAUGAUUUUGACUUUAUUUUCUCUACUCGUCUUUUUCUUGAUGUAUAGCUCAAGUGUACAUAAACUGGUUUUGUUAUCAAUUUGUGUAAUAGUCUAAUCUAAAUUUCAAUCAUCUUCAUUUAUGCAAGCUAGUUUACAUAUCAUUAGUCAAUUAACUCAAGCCAAGUUUUUUCCUUAACGGAUGUAUAAUUGGUUUAUAUGAAGUAUGAAUUAAGUAGUACGUGCUCAUUUUGUCUCACCAAACAUUCCAUCACCACAUGUUAGAACGGUUUUGGUGAUGGAUUUAAACUUAAAAAAAAGCAGUACUUCUCUCAAAGUGCCUUAGUUCGUUGACUGAUUAAUAUUGAAUGAAGAGUCGGGUUAUUAUAUAUGCAAUGUACAUGAAGUCCUGCUGUCCCGGUACAGCAAAAAUGCAUCUUCUCCUACUCUUAACUUGGGUCCAAUCUUUACCGUCUACUCCAUCUGCACUUAUUUCAAAUUUUUGUUUGGUGGUAACUGGUAACCACUAAGUUUUGCACAAAUUAUUUCUUUGAGCAGUGCAUGUUCUGCACAUGUUUAUUCGCACAUUCUUUUAGAGAGCAUAGUUAGUUAUUGAAACAGGAGGUUUUAGCCUGCUGCUUCCUGGUACAUUGAUGGUUUAGUAGAAAAUUUGGUUUCAAACUCUAGUUUAGCUCAAGCAGGUGAGAAUUACUCUUUAUAAUAAUUUUUCGUGUUAUCUCGGCAUAAAUGUUAUCUUGGUGAACUUUAUUAUUUUACUGUUAAAUCAUAAUUCAAUAUUGAGUUUCUAACUUACUUUAGUAAUCUUUCUUUUUUUUCUUUUGCAAUUUUCAUGAAGAGAGUGACAUCUUCUAUUAAGACUCAUCUUGAUACUUCUUUAGAGGUGAUUAUGAGUUGCAUUAUGGUAAUUUUUGCAUUAGAAUUAUUACUCAAUAGAAACAACAUCAUUAUAUCAAUAAUUGUGUUGAUUGUGUUGUUGACAUUAUAAAUUUUUUUGAUAUAGUCUUUAGAAUUCAAGUGUGAUUCUAUUGUGGAGCAUAUUCAGGAAUUACAUAAACCAUGUGACGGGCCAGAAGUCGGCAUUGCAAAUUUCAAGGGGGUGAAUGAAAUUCAGGAACAAAAUAUUCGCAUGAGGUAUGGAGCUUUGUUGUGGGAUUAUGGAAAGAGAAAACUAGAAGCUGCUAUAAAAGACAACAUUACAGAAAAAUUUGGCAGAUUAUUUGGAAAGAAAAAGAGGAAGAGGACGCACCACGAGUAGUAGUUUAGUUUUGUAGUUAUUGAAACUCACUGCACAUGAAGGAUUUUUAGCUAUGUUUAGCUUUGUAGUUAUUGAAACUCACUGAACAUGAAGGAUUUUUAGCUAUUUUUAUGCGAUUAUGUAAAGUUUAACAGUCUUUUCAAAUUGAAUCGGCUAUUUUUUAUGCGAUAACGUGAAAUAUAUAAUGUAGAAUCGCUACUUAUUCAUUUGUUGGUAUCUUUGUAUAUUUAUAUUUUAUUAUCGAAGAAUAUUUUUUGCCUUCCCUUGUGGCAAGUCUCGCCCCUCAGGCAAGAGUUAUUGAGUAUCUUCUAAAUUAGUAAACAAUGUGGCAGGGCCAAUUCAUGCCCAUGAGGUAUAACUUGUUCCUAUGGGGCCUGUCUUAUUAUUAAUUAUGUGCGACCGCUAUAUGAGUAUUUUGUUCAUUGUGAACUUUUCAAUAACAUUUGUCCUCGAUUAAAUGGCAUAAAAUAAGAAAUAGUUUAGACCUUGUAAUCCAAGGGUCAUCUCCCUCUCCUCAGUAGUUGGUUCUCCACUUUUAUUUAUUUGUUUAGAUGCUUGGUUUUGUUGAUUGGUAUCAUCUUAUUUUCUACUCACAAUUGAAUACUCCUCCGUGCUUUUCUUUUUGUAGUUUUUGAUGGCUAAGUCUAGCCUCUAGGGCAAGUGUUGUAGAUCAUUUGUCGAAUCAUUGCAAAAUAAGCUAGUGUCAACUCUUGCCCAUGAGGCAUAACUUUUUCCUUUGGGGUCUAAAAAUCUUGCCUCUUGGAUAAGACUUAUAAAUUAUCCACCAAAUCAUCACACACUAAUCUAGUAUCAACGCUUGGCCAUGGGACAUAACUUGUUCAUUUGUUGUAUUAAGUUUUGCCUCUAGGGCACGAGCUACAGGUCAUCUACCAAAUUAUUACAUGCUAAGUUAGUGUCAACUCUUGCCUAUAGGGCAUAACUUGUUUCUUUGGGGCUUAAGUCUUGACUCUGGGGCAAGUGUUGUAGAUCAUCUACCGAAUCAUUCCAGAAUAAGGUAGUGCCAACUUUUGUUCAUGGAGCACAACUUGUUCUGCAUCUUGCCUUCAAGGCAAAUUUUAAAGUGUAUCUCAUGGAAUUAUUCACAUCACAUCUCUUGGGGGUGUAGUCCUUCUCCGAAUCCUAUUAAUAUGAUAUGUUUUUACACAUUAAUAUAUAUGAAAAUUUAACAUGCUAAGUAAUUUUUAUAAACAAUCAAUAAGAAGGUAUUGAGUUAAAUACUUCACCACAAGUUAAAAAUUCAUAUAAAUAAGAAGACAUUCGUGAUUGAAAGUCAAAAGUACUUGCUACUAACUAAAAUAGGGAUAAAAAAAUCCUAUUAUAACUACUAUUUUGAUCCAACUUCUCAGAUAAAAAGUAAAACUAAUCAUGUUUUCUUAUUUUUCUUUCUGUAUCUUCUUGUAUAUGGAUGAAGGAUAGGAGUAUAGUGACAAUUUGGUCUAUUAUUCCCGGUCCUUUUGCAUCUCAAGCAUCUAUAAUUGUUUCUUGAAGAUUCUUUUCUGCAAGGAUAUCUGGAUGUUUGUCUUCUCCCAAGCAGAACAUCCUUAUCUGGGGGGUUUAUGAUCAGAUCCUUUAUGCUAUCGGGGACAAUCCAUAAUACUGUGCUUCCAACUGGUAGGAUUUCUCCCUAGUAUGUUUGUAGCCAAGACUAUCUUGAGAACCAAUGAGAACAAUAACUAUACUUAUUCAUAUGUCUACUCUCUAUCGUUGCAGUUGCAUGGGUGCAUGGUAUCUCAUCUAUUUGAAAUACCAAGCAUUGACAAGUCCUGCUCUUCAAGUCUACAAUAUAUUCAACUCCUUCUUCUCUUACAAAAAAUCUUGUUGCAUCAAUGGGGUCUACCUGUAAAUAAAAUGAUAAAUAAAUAAUGACUUCUAGUGAAACAUCUAGUAUACGAGCAGAAUCGGGCAUACAGAGCAAUCAAUCAUACAUAGGGGGCGAAUCUUGAGGCAACCAAAAAAUAACUACAAUCAAGCAUAUAACAUCAAAUCACAAUCUAAUAUUGAACUAAUGGAAAAUCGAAUAAUAAGUGACCAAUAAUAAGGAGUAACAAUUAAGGUUCUAUUUCAAAAUGGAAGAGAAGGUCCAAUAUAGGUGAUAGUUGGAGUUUUGAUGCUUGGCUUGGUCAGGAAAAGUGCAGGAGAAGGAUCUGUCAUCCAAGAAAUGAGCUUUCAAAGUCAAAUUCCCUGUAUUAUAUGGAAAAGAUAGAACCUUGCUUAGGAACAACAGUUGAUUCAAUAGUGAUGCUUCUAACAUAUGAGCAGGAGAAUCAACUACAAAUAAACUGUGAUAAAACAGAUAUUGCAUCUAAUCUAGGAGUAGAAUCAACUAUGAUAGUGAAACAUCUAGUAUAUGAGUAGAAUCAGCCAUACAGAGCAAUCAAACAUACAUAGCAGACGAAUCUUGAGGCAAACAAAAAAUAGCUAUAAUUAAGAAUACAACAUCGAAUCACAAAAUAUCACGCAGUUAUGAGCAGAAGCAACAAAACGCAUAUUUCGCGUGCGAAUCUCAAGGAAAUAAAAAAACUAGCAAUAAAUCACAAAUAACAGUAAACCAGCUAUGUAUAAUCUAUGAUAAAAAAAUAGUAACAGUAUAUUUUCCUAUUAUCAAAAUACAAUUUUAAUUACUUACUUUCAAUUUCAAUGCAACUUGAAGCUUGUCAGUCACCUUCACUUUCGCCCAACAUGUGAUGUCAUGAAAGUUGCCUUGUGAUUCCAUUUUUAUUUUAUAAAACCAACUUUGUAACUUGUUCUGAAUGUAAUCGCUCAGUCCUAGUAUUGGCAGUUGCCUGGCUUUUCUUAGUACCGUAUUCAUGGACUUCACGUUGUUAGUCAUAAGCAUAUUGUAUCUUCUGUUGGUAUGAAAUGAAAGAGCCCAUCUUUUUGGUUCUUCUUCUUUCAAGUAAUCCGCAGCAACUUUGUCAACUUUUUCUAUCUCAUCUAUGAAAGAAUAAAAUUCAGUUCGUUUGUAUGUUGUUGCUACGUUGUAAAAGAGUGAUAGAACCACAUUUGAGAAGUAUCUUUUUCUUAAAUUCUUCUCCAUGUGAUAGAUACAUAUCCCAUGCUGACACUCUGGAUAGUCAUUUGUAAUUGCAUUUGUAAUGGCUGGGUGACGAUCUGAUAGAAUAGACAAUUGUUCACGUACCCCAAUUGCAUGUCUUAACUGAUUGAAGAACCAGUUAUAAGACUCAUUAUUUUCUGAGUUUGCAAUUCCAAAAGCCAAAGAAAAUAUGUUGUUGUUUCCGUCCUUUGAAACUGCUAUCAUGAGGACACCACGAUAUUUUACCUUCAAAAAUAUAACAUCUACCAUUAUUACCGGUCUCCAGUUGGCCCAUCCAAUGAUUGAAGCGCCAUAAACAAUGAAUGCAUAUUAAAACCUGUGUUGAGCAAAAGAAUAUUGGUAAAAUUUGCAUUUAAUGUUUAUAAUCAGAGUACAACAAUUUUCUAAACUAAGUCUUACCCAUUAGGUAAGAGUUGCAUCUAUGUUAAUAAUCUAAUCAGUGCAAUUAAAGAAUAAACUUUUGCCUUUUGGGUAAAAGUUUUCAACUUCAAUAGGAUAGCAUUUGGACAACAAUUUUCUAAAUCAAGUCUUGCCCAUGAGGCAAGAGUUCCAUCCAUGUUAAUAAUCUAAUCAGUGCAAAUAAAGGAUAAAUUGUUGCCUCUUGGGCAAAAGUUUUUAAUUUCUAUAAUUUUCUAAACCAAGUCUUGCCCAUGAGGCAAGAGUUUUAUCUAUGUUAAUAAUCUAUUCAAUGCAAAUAAAGGAUAAACUAUUGCCUCUUGGGCAAAAGUUGUCAAUUUCAACAGUACAACAUUUGUACCUGUUCUCAUCGUCCCUCUUUAUGUUUGUGUACAUGCCUGGGUUGUUUUCUUUCAUCAUGUGAAAAUACGAUGGCAACCUGUUUUAGUUCUCUUCCGCGGUUCCUCUUAUCACCGUAUAGGUAUCUUGUAUCGCUCUCCAUCUUUUGUUGUAGGAUAUGAUGAUUCCGUAUUUCCUUUUUAUUUCAUCUACCACGAAGUUGGGUGUGAUUACAUUACUAGAGUCAUGCACGAGCUCUAGUAUGUAGUACAAAUGACCUUUGAUGUUGCAUUCCUGUGGUCGGACGUUAUGAAAUCAACCGAGCAACUGUAAGCCUUUUCAUAUGUAGUAACCUGAAAGAGCAAAGAAUUGGGAAUCUUCGAGGCAUGAAACCGCCGCACACAGUUGUCGUCCAAACAUCGCAGUAAAUAUCUUGUUGUGUUUGAUUUGAUAACCUUAAAUUGAAUGUUGUGUGUAAUUGCAAUGUUUGACAUACACGUCAACAUAUUUUGUUUGUCAAUGAAGAUCGAAUUGACAUUUACCUCAUUCAAAGAGGCAUUAUGUCUCAAGAGAGUAGUCUCGACAUCAAGUAUCCUCUUUUUUUUUUGGUGUACCCUCUUAAUCCUGGAUGGCUCAGCUAUUUCAGCCUUCAAUAUUUGUUCAAUAACCUGUAACUCGUUAUUUCUAUCAAUACUUUCAAUACUCAUUUCGUUUUUAUCCAUUCCAAGCACAACCCUUGUGAAAAAUGAAACAAAAAAAGAUUAGUAAUAAUUUAAUUUAGAAUGUAUAUCUUUAACAAGUAAAAUCAUUAAAGAGUAAGGCACAGUCAACUAUUGUCCAUGGGGUAUCUCUGUCAAAGUCUUGCCUCUAGGGCAAGAGUUAUAGGUAAUCUGUCAAAUCAUUACAGACUAUGGCAGUGUCCACUUUUGUCCAUUGGGCAUAACUGUCUCAGUCUUGCCUCUGGGGCAAGAGUUAUAGGUCAUCUGCCAAAUCAUUACAAACUAAGGCAGUGUCAACUAUUGCCCAUGGGGCAUAACUUGAAAUGUAUGGCAAAAUCUGAAGACGCUAAAAUCGCACUUGAAACUACUAAAUAACACACACAAUAGGGGUGAUUCUAAAAGGGUUGUUUACUUUAGAGAUACGUUGCAAGUGAUACAACAUAGUUUAUCAACUCAAUACUCUGAUAAUAUGGCCUUGAAAGAGAAUGAUGUACUGACUAUUACUGAGAAGUGGAGCAAUAUUGAAGAGAGUAUGUUACAAUAAAAAUUCAGGGCUUUGGGUAUAAGAAAGGUGAUUCAAACCCCGUGUAUUUUAGUGCAGUUAAACUUAAACAUAAGGCAUCUCAACGCUAUGAUAAAUGCUUAAUUGUGCUAACUUCUCAUCGAAAAGCUUCAGAUGUUAGAGAGCAAACUUUGAAUACUUCACUAUAUAUUCUUAAGCAAACACAACAGGUCAAAUUGGCUUUACAACAUCAAUUUGCAUGUAUACAGAUUUUCUAAUCAUAUUAAUUUAACGCUGCAAGUCAAAUGCACAUAAUCGUGGCAUCGUAAGAGGUCAUUAUGGACACGUCAAUCAGAUUAUACAUAGCUUCAACACUGAUACAUCAAAUUGUGUUGAUCAUGUUUAUGAGGAGCAGAGCCACCAUGUUCAACAUUCUAGACAAUCAAAUUUCCAUCUAUAUGGAAAUGAUUUGUAUGAUGAUACUUACAAGAACGACGCAAUACAUGAUGAAGAAGAUGACACGCCAGCUCCUAAGCAAGUUGGAUUACUAAGCUUGUUCAAAUACUCAAUCAAGUUGGAUAUUGUACUACUGCUGUUAGGUUAUAUUGGGGCUCUAAUAAAUGGAGGAUUGUUUCCUUGGUAUUCUUAUCUUUUUGGUAAUUUCGUAAUAAAAUUGCUCUGGACAAAGACAAAUACUAGAUGAUAAAGGAUGUGGGGGCGGUAAUAUAUACUUAGACUUUUAUUGUGUGCUUCUAAAGGUCUCAGUUAAUAACCCCUUACCCUUCCAUACCGCGAGCAGUAAAAAGAGAUGAAUUCAUGAACUACUAUCCUAAAUUAGACAUAACUGCUAACAUUUGAUACAACCUUCAAGUGUGUGUGCUUAUGACUGGACUAUCCGUGAUAGUCAUGAUCAGAGCAUACUUAGGUAAUUUAGACAUUUUUUAUCCUCAUCGUAGUCUGGAUUUUAACGUCUGAAAAAGAGCAACGACAGUUGACACUUUAUCAUCUUAUAAUGCCAGAGACAACUUGCUGGAGAUUGGUCGGAGAAAGAUCAACUCACAAAAUAAGAACUAAGUAUCUAAGAGCUGUUUUACGACAAGACAUUGAAUUUUUUGACACAGAACUGAAUACUGGUGAAAUUAUGCAUGGAAUUUUGAGUGAUGGAGGACAAAUCCAAGAAGUAAUGGGAGAAAAGGUACAUUGGAUUAAAACACAAUUAUAUAACGAAUAGUAAAUCGACACAAUUAAAAUACAAACUGCCCACAAUCUGUUUGACACAAUUCCUCAAUGGUAAAUAUGUUACUACAACAACAACAUUUCCAAACUUCAGCUUACGUUCACCUCCCCAAAAAUCAAAUCAAUAUGCUAAUUACAUAACGAGCUAAAAUUACCACAAUGCAUCAAUAAGCUUAAAUUACCACAAUGAAUUUUGGUGAUGAAUUUCAUACCUGAAGAACCCUUAUAGGUAAAGUCGAUUCUCCGAAUAUUUGAAAGUCGAUUCUGAAAUUUGGAAGAAAGAGAUUUAACAGUGAGUAUUUUGGCAGGAGAUUGAUUCUGAAAUUCGGAAGAAAGAGAAAAAGAAAGAGGUUUAAUGGCUGAAGGAAAGAGGUUUAACGGCAAAUAUUCUGUAGAGAAUAUUUUUGUCCAAGAAAAUAUGACUUAAAAAGUUAAGGCUAUUUUAAUAAAGCCUUUUUAUUUGGGGCUAAAAUUUGAAAGUCACCCUAAUUUGGGUCUAGAUUUGAGAAUCUCCCAAAUUUAGAUUAGCGGAAAUAUUUGGAACUUUCCCUUGGCCCAAAAACACAUGCCAAUUUGAUAACCGGCAAAAAGUGAAUAUAAACUAAGUUGUUGUAAUACUAAUUUUUCCAAAAAAUUAUUUAGGAUGAGCACAUGUUUCCAUCUAGCAGCUUGUCUCUCUAAAAUCCUUGCAUCCAAAUGAAAAUUCCUUUCUUCCUCUGCAAUUUCAUCUAGUUUGUCCAUCAGUUCUUUCAUUCUUGUUCUCACCUUGUAACGGAAAGAUGAUGACGCCCCAAUGCAGUUUGCUUAAGUCUUGCUGCCUCACUUUUAUAUUCGUCCAAUAUGUCCUCAACUUCAUAUGAUGCAUCUGCAUUGAGUUUCUUUAACCAGUUCUUUAGUGUCUUGUCCUUCAAUUGCUUCUCCUGGGCAUCUUCUAGCACCGCUUGAAUACUAGAAAACAUGCUCCAAAGUUUUUGGAACUUCUCCUUUAACUAAGAAACAAUCCAAGUUCCCCUUGGAUGAAGGAAGUCAAAUUGUCAAACAAAACUUGAAGGAAAUCUUCGGCCUUAAAUUGAAUUCCUAUAACUCAAAUUAGAUAUAACGAACACAGAGUGUUGUGAAUAUUAUUUUUAUAAGAAAAAACUGGCGUUUGUAUGCUACCCUUGUAAUAUUGUUCAAUUGGACAAAAUGCUGGUUAAUUCAAUGAAUCUAGAAAAUUUUGAGGAUUAUCUAUUGCUAAAUCGAGCAAAAUGGAAUGAGGCUCCAACAAUUUAUCUAAUUUAAUAAUUAAGUACACUGAAAGGGAAAGUUAUCGGGUGCUUUUACAAAGAGUAAGUUAUUAAUGGUAGUUUUCCAGUGGUUUUAUCUAAGUUUCCAGCAUCAGUGACGUUUAGAGACACAAAUGAAUAGCUAAGUGACUAUAUUGAUAUAAACAACAAAAAACGGCUUUGGUAAAUAAAUUCAUCAAGUUGACUGAAUAUCUGAGGAAUUUACUAGUAUAACAUCCUUAUAUGCUGAGUUGAAAUAAAAACCCAAAGAGACAAUGAUAUAUAUGUUAUUUUAUGGUGUUUUCGGGUACAAGAAUCUGUAUUUAGGCACAACAACUUCAACACUAUUUCAAGUUUAAAAUAAGAACACUAUGAAGUACAAAAACACCCUCAAUACAAGAUCAAAGUGAUCUUUCUAAGAAAUGUGUUUUAAUUUUUCAGAAAUUAAGAUGAAACACAAAUAUAAAGCCAAGUCCCCCGACUUCACGGAGUGUCCUUAAGGAAUAAUUUCCCUCGACUUCACGGAGUGUCCUUAAGGAAUAAUUUUCCUUACUGUACCCGAGGUUUUGGAAUCUUCCUCCCAGGAUAAAAUGACUUUCAGUCCAACUAUAGUGGUACCUCAAAUAAUUGGAUUCGUCGAACUCACUCAACGAUUUGAUUGAUCAUAAAGAAUGUUUUGAAGACAAGAAGAGUUUUUAUUUCAGAAAAUUUUUCAUUCAUAUCAAACCUGUGGAUGAAAACAGGUUUAUAUAGCCAUCAUAUGCCUCUUCUGAAAGGUGGCAAUGGUUCACUUAAAAAGUGGAUCCUUUGGAAGAGUCAUGUUUAUUCAUUCGAAACAUUGUGUCUUUUUCUGAANNNNNNNNNNNNNNNNNNNNNNNNNNNNNNNNNNNNNNNNNNNNNNNNNNNNNNNNNNNNNNNNNNNNNNNNNNNNNNNNNNNNNNNNNNNNNNNNNNNNNNNNNNNNNNNNNNNNNNNNNNNAAAGGUUGUGUCCCUCCAUUUUCCAUUCACACCUUUUUCAUACAUAUUGAAUCCAACAAUUCCCCACAUGAAUGGGGAAUGACUAUUUUUUUUGUAAAAUUUUACGAACAAGUAUAUGAUCAUCAAGCAAAGACUGAUUGCAUCUGGAUAAGUGGAUUUUCCUUUGAACUUUCCACAGUGAACAUGCAUCGGAUGCACUCGGUCAAUCGGUAGAUUUGAUAUCUUUGAACCGAAUAGCUUUGAUGUACACCUAGACAACACAUAUCACAUAACCAGCCUUUUACCGUUUAUGGUUCUCACGGUUUUAUUCUUUUCNNNNNNNNNNNNNNNNNNNNNNNNNNNNNNNNNNNNNNNNNNNNNNNNNNNNNNNNNNNNNNNNNNNNAAGGUGUAUCCUUUGGAAGAGUUAUGUCUGUUCAUUCGAAACAUUGUGUCUUUUUCUGAACAAACACAACUAUCUGAAUAGUCACUCCUUUUCCAAAACAAUAUGUUUUUUCCUCAAAGGUUGUGUCCCUCCAUUUUCCAUUCACACCUUUUUCAUACAUAUUGAAUCCAACAAUUCCCCACAUGAAUGGGGAAUGACUAUUUUUUUUGUAAAAUUUUACGAACAAGUAUAUGAUCAUCAAGCAAAGACUGAUUGCAUCUGGAUAAGUGGAUUUUCCUUUGAACUUUCCACAGUGAACAUGCAUCGGAUGCACUCGGUCAAUCGGUAGAUUUGAUAUCUUUGAACCGAAUAGCUUUGAUGUACACCUAGACAACACAUAUCACAUAACCAGCCUUUUACCGUUUAUGGUUCUCACGGUUUUAUUCUUUUCAGCCAUGAACACGUCCCGGAUUCAUGAGAGCUUAGAGAAUAGGCUUUUACUAACAUUCUCCUUGAAGCGGCUUCCACUUCGCCCUCACAUAAGUGAUUUCUAAACUUUCAAUCCCAUAGAUUAAACUAUUUGGUCAAAUCUGUCAAAUUUAGAUAAUUAUUAAAAGACUUCUCACCUUAAGUCUUAUCCUUGUUUACUAAACAUUGACUACAUUAUGAGAAUGGGUUGGUAUUUUAACAAUGUUGAACCUGUCAGACACAACUUUGUUUGAUCUCCUUAAACCUAACUCUUGGGAUCUCCAGUAUGCUAGGUAGAGUUACCGUCAUGCUGACUUGUACUAGGCCUUAAAUCCAUUCUGUCAGAUGUCCUUUUCACUCCUUCUCUAGAUAGGUCUUUUGUAAGUGGAUCCGACACAUUAUCCUUUGACUUUACAUAGUCAACAGUGAUAAUUCCACUAGAGAGAAGUUUCCUAACGGUAUUAUAUCUCCAUUGUAUGUGAUGAGAUUUACCGUUGUACACCAUGCUCCCUGCCCUACCUAUUACCGCUUGGCUAUCAUAGUGUAUACAUACUGGUGCCACUGGUUUGGGCCAAUAAGGAAUAUCUUCCAAGAAAUUUCAGAGCCAUUCUGCUUCUUCACCGAUUUUAUCCAAUGCGAUAAAUUCAGAUUCCAUUGUAGAGCGAGCAAUACANNNNNNNNNNNNNNNNNNNNNNNNNNNNNNNNNNNNNNNNNNNNNNNNNNNNNNNNNNNNNNNNNNNNNNNNNNNNNNNNNNNNNNNNNNNNNNNNNNNNNNNNNNNNNNNNNNNNNNNNNNNNNNNNNNNNNNNNNNNNNNNNNNNNNNNNNNNNNNNNNNNNNNNNNNNNNNNNNNNNNNNNNNNNNNNNNNNNNNNNNNNNNNNNNNNNNNNNNNNNNNNNNNNNNNNNNNNNNNNNNNNNNNNNNNNNNNNNNNNNNNNNNNNNNNNNNNNNNNNNNNNNNNNNNNNNNNNNNNNNNNNNNNNNNNNNNNNNNNNNNNNNNNNNNNNNNNNNNNNNNNNNNNNNNNNNNNNNNNNNNNNNNNNNNNNNNNNNNNNNNNNNNNNNNNNNNNNNNNNNNNNNNNNNNNNNNNNNNNNNAAAUGAGUCUUGGCAAUACCGAAUUCCAUAUACUUAAAUUUGUCAAGUACAUUUUUGAUAUAAUGAGACUGUGACAAUGCCAACCCUUGUGGAGUUCUAUGGAUUCUUAUACCUAAGAUCACAUCCGCAACUUUAAGGUCUUUCAUGUCAAACUUGCUCUCGAGCAUUCAUUUCGUUGCAUUUAUGUCAAAAAUAUCUCUACUGAUGAUUAACAUAGCAUCCAUAUAUAAACAAAUAAUGACUUGGUGAUUUGGAGUGUCUUUAAUGUAAACAUAUUUAUCAUAUUCAUUUAUCUUGAACCCGUUUGCCAACAUGGUUUGGUCAAACUUUGCAUACCAUUGUUUCGGUGCUUGCUUUAGUCCAUACAAUGACUUAAUAAGUUUACACACCUUAUUCUCCUUUCCUAGAACCACAAAGCCUCAGGUUGUUCUAUAUAAAUUUCUUCCUCCAAUUCUCCAUUUACGAAUGUGGUUUUCACAUCCAUUUGAUGGAUUUCAAGACCAUAUACUACCGCCAAGUCAAUUUACAUUCGAAUCGAUGUUAUCCUUGUUACUGGCGAGUAUGUAUCAAAGUAAUCAAGGCCUUUUUUUUUGCUUAAAGCCUUUUACUACAUGUUUUGCCUUGUAUAUGUCAAUAGUACCAUCAACUUUCAUUUUUCCUUUGAAGAUCCAUUUAGAACCCAAAGGUUUAUUUCCUGGAGGAAGAUCAACCAAUUCCCAUGUAUGGUUGCUUAAGAUUGAAUCAAUCUCACUAUUGACUGCCUCUUUCCAAAAGGAUGAGUCUGACGACGACAUCGCUUCUUUAAACGUUUGAGGCUUAUUUUCUAAGAAAAAUGUUACAAAAUUUGAUCCAAACGUAGUAGAAGUUCUUUGAUGUGUACUACAUCUUGGAUUCUCUUCAUUAUGUACAUUCUUACUUGGUUCAUCUUGAGGUUGUUUAGAUCCUCCACUAGACUAUUCAUGUCUAGUUUUAUACGGGUAAAUGUUUUCAAAGAAUUCAGCAUUAUCUGAUUCAAUUACCGUAUUUUCAUUUAUAUCCGGAUAUUCAGAUUUAUGAACCAAAAACCAACAUGCUUUACUACUUUUAGCAUAUCAUAUGAACACACAUUCCAUCGUCUUAGGUCCUAUCUUAACCCUUUUAGGCAUAGGAACUUGAAUCUUUGCUAGACACCCCCACACUUUGAAAUAUUUCAAGUUAGGUUUCCUUUCUUUCCAUUUUUCAUAAGGAAUUGAUUGUGUCUUACUAUGGGAAACUUUAUUGAGUAUACGAUUGGCUGUAAGGAUAGCCUCCACCCACAAGUUUUGCAGUAAAACGGAACUUAUAAGUAAGACAUUCAUCAUUUCCUUCAACGUUCGGUUUUUCCUUUCUGAAAUUUUGUUAGAUUGAGGUGAAUACGGUGCCGCAGUUUGAUGGAUGAUUCCAUUCUCUACACAUAUUUCGGUGAAGGGAGAUUCAUAUUCUCCACCCCUAUCACUUUUUUUUAUCAUUUUUAUCUUUUUCUCUAACUAAUUUUCUUCUUUAGUUUUGUAUUGCCUAAACGCUUCUAUUGCCUCAUCCUUACUAUAAACGCUUCUAUUGCCUCAUCCUUACUAUAAACGCUUCUAUUGCCUCAUCCUUACUAUUUAGCAAGUAGAUGUAACAGUAUCUAGUGCAAUCGUCAAUAAAAGUUAUGAAAUACUUUUUCCCACCACGUCAUGGUGUUGACUUCAUAUCACAAAUGUCAGUGUGUAUAAAGUCUAAGGGAUUGAAAUUCCUUUCAACAGACUUAUAAGGAUGCUUUGCAUACUUUGAUUCCACACACGUUUGACACUUUGAUUUAUUUCACUCAAAGUUUGACAAAACCUCUAAGUUAAUUAGUUUUCGUAACAUUUUGUAAUUAACAUGGCCUAAACGUUCAUGCCAUAAAUUAUAAGACUCAAGAAAUUAAGAAGAAUUUAAAUUUUUAUUGAUUUCAACAUUCAUCUUAUAAAGGUCCUCGGUGAGAUAGCCUUUUCCUACAUACACUUCUCAUUUGCUAAUUACAAUUUUUUCAGAAUCGGUUACACAUUUUAAUCCGUUCUCGUCUAGGAGUGAAACAGAAAUCAAGUUCCUACGUAAUUCCGCAACGUACAAGACAUUGUUAAGUGUCAAGACCUUUCCUGAAGUCAUUUUCAAGCCCAUUUUUUCUGUUCCCUCUACCUUAGCCGUAGCGGAGUUAGCCAUGCAGAUCAUUUCUUCUACUUGAGCCGGAGCAAAUGAUGAAAACAACUCUUUGUUAGCACAAACAUAGCGGAUGACACCAGAAUCCAUCCAUCACUAGCGAGGAUUCUCCCUAAGUUGCAUUCUGAAAAUAUAGCACACAGAUCAUCACAUUUUUUGUUGGACUCAAUCAUAUUUGCUUGAUCCUUUUUCUUGCCUUUCUUAGGGGUACGACAAUCCGUGGACUUAUGGCCAAUCUUAUCACACUUGAAGCACUUUCCCUUGAAUUUCUUCUUGGGUUGACUGCUUCCUUGUUCAAUGUUCUUCCUUUUCUUAGAAUUAUUUUGGUCAUCUUUUACAAUAUGUGCUCCAUUAAUUGUAGAAUUCCCCUUUGACCUUCUCUCGGUAGCCUUAUUAUCCUCUUCAAUACGCAGUCGGACAAUAAGAUCUUCGACAGUCAUCUCCUUGUGUUUGUGCUUUAAGUAUUUUUUGAAGUCUUUCCACAUAGGUGGUAUCUUCUCAAUGAUCACUGCUACUUGAAAUGCAUCAUUCACAAUCAAACUUACAAACUAGUUUAUGUGAGUACUAAGAAAAUUUUCAAUUUGUUCAACUAAGGUAUUUUUCAAAGAUAUACCUUCUGCUAGGAGAUCGUGAAUGAUUACUUGCAAUUCCUGCACUUGAGAGACAACCGAUUUGCUAUCUAUCAUUUUAAAGUCCAGAAACCUUGCAACAAAGAAUUUCUUAAUUCCUGCAUUCUCUGUCUUGUAUUUCCGUUCUAGUGCCCCCCCACAAUUUCUUCAAUGUCUUAGUUCCACUGUAAACAUUAUAGAGGUCGUCUUGGAGACCACUCAAGAUAUAAUUUCUGCAAAGAAAGUCUGAGUGCUUCCAAGCCUCUUCAAUCAUGAAAUACUCUUUGUCCGAGGUUCCCUCGGGCACCUCAGGAUCAUCCUCACUAGUGAACCUUUGAACGCAUAGAGUCUUGAGGUAAAAGAACAUCUUUUGCUGCCAUCUCUUAAAGUCAAUGCCCGCAAAUUUUUCGGCCUUCACCGCAGGCGCCAUUGGUUGCGGAGCAUUUGCUCGACUUGUUGAGGCAGUACUAGUUGCCCUCAUAGUCGUAGCCGCAUCUUGCAUUUGAAUUUCGUUAGUCAUUUUUUCUGUCACCACAAGACAAUAAAAUUUAGUAUUUUCUGAAUACUAUUUAUAAAGUUAAGCAACUAUAAACUCUUCUUCUUGUUUCUAGUUAAUGAUGAUGUUUUUAUGACUUUCAAUCGAAAACCGAAUGAUCUUUAACUUGUGAUGAAGAUUUUAUGUCUUCAAAUCACUAGUUAAGUUCAAACGGAGUAGAAAGCUUAAAGCUUUAAUCUCCAGAAACAAGCAAUACAGAUUCUGCAAGAAUUAUUCCUUAAGAUUAUUAUUUUAUGGUGUUUUUGGGUACAAGAAUUUGUAUUUAGGCACAACAACUUCAACACUAGUUCAAGUUUAAAACAAGAACACUAUGAAGUAUAAAAACAUCCUCAACACAAGAUCAAAGUGAUCUUUCUAAGAAGUGUGUUUUAUUUUUUCAGAAAUUAAGAUGAAACAGAAAUAUAAAGCCAAGUCCCCCGACUUCACGGAGUGUCCUUAAGGAAUAAUUUCCCUCACUGUACCCGAGGUUUUGGAAUCUUCCUUCCAGGAUAAAAUGACUUUCAAUCCAACUAUAAUGGUACCUCAAAUAAUUGGAUUCGUAGAACUCACUCAACGAUUUGAUUGAUCACAAAGAAUGUUUUGAAGACACGAAAAGUUUUUAUUUCAGAAAAUUUUUCAUUCAUAAACCUGUGGAUAAAUGCAGAUUUAUAUAGCCAUCAAGUGCACCUUCCCAAAGGUGGUAAUGGUUUAUCUGAAAAGGUGUAUCCUUUGAAAGAGUCAUGUCUGUUCAUUCAAAACAUUUUGUCUUUUUCUAAAUAGACAGAACCAUCUGAAUAGUCACUCCUUUUCCAAAACAAUGUUUUUUCCUCAAAAGUUGUGUCCCUCCAUUUUCCAUUCACACCUUUUUCAUACAUAUUGAACCUAACAAUAACUUUUAUGCUGACAGUUUCUUGUUGAUGCUUCGGAAGAACAAAAGAACAAGAAACAUAUGAUAUCUACAUGAAGGAUUAUAUUACAUAAAAAGAAGAAUAAACACAGAAUGAACUUUCUGAAAUACAAAGAAAUCAAUCUCUUAAAGUUCUACGUUCUAGCCUAACAAUUUGUAUCUAUGAAGAAAAAAUGCGACAAUUCCACUACAGAUUUCAACACUACCAUUUAGUUUGUCACAACAUUUUGCAGAAAUUGAGCUACUUCCAGUACUGAUCUCAAACAAAAUUUUAUAUUUUUUGAUUUUUAAAUUAAAUAAAAUUAAAUUUCUUCUAUAGUGCAUAUAAAAUUAAAUAAGUAGAUACAUUAAAAUGUUCCAUUCAGAGUUACAGACUAGAGACACAUGAUUUCAAUUUUAAUUUCUUCCCAUGCAGCUGGUUUCGCAUUAUAAAAAACAUAAAUCAGGUGAGCUUGAAUAGCUAUUGGGGCGUUUACCGGAAAGCUAAAAAUAUUUGGACCCAUGUAUAAGAACACUUGAAUUUAUGUGUGGUAAAAAAAAAAAAAAAAAAAAAAAAAAAAAUAUGGACAUUUUAAAGUUUUCUGAGUGUUCAACUUUGGCCAAAUGCACUGUUUUGUCCUUCUUUAUGAAGUCCAUAUCAGUAAUUUUCACUCAUCUCCCAAAAGUGAAAAUUGUGAGAAAGCAAAAGCAAUGUACAAACAGCAGAAGAAUGAAACUUUUCCCUUCCUCAUAUAGACAGAUGUGACCACAAAAACAGUGUCAUUUUCUGGUGAUAUUCAGAAUCUCAUUUUAGCCAAGGGUCAGGCAAAGUGGGAAGAUAUCAAUCCAUCAAGCAUGCCUAGAAUCAUUAGAGGACAUUCACCACAACUUGCAAAGAAAUUAGAAGCUUUAUCAACAUUCACCUCUUCUCCCUUAACAAUAUCAGAAGUAUCAUGGAUAAUGAGAUAGGAUUUGAUCAAUUUUUGUUGUACCAUAGCUACUACACAACCCUACAACAAAAAAUAUUUACUUGUUAAGUAAUCUAAUUUCUUGGAAAACAUAUACUAUAAUAUUACGACAAACAUAUCUUUUAAUUACUCCAGAGAUAAGCAUAUACUAAAAUCUAUCUCCACAAUGGACCUUGUUUUUCUUGCUGACAUGAUGUAGCCAUCCAAACCCUCUAAUUGCUUUGGAAAUCUUAACAAGAUUAGGCCUUCCCAUUCCUAAAUUCAUCUUUCUAGCUGAGAACUUUAAAGCCUGUAAGCAACACAACUGUUCAUUUAUAUCUUCUUCGUCGUCAUCAUCUUCUUCAUCCUUUUUGUAGCUUUUGGAUUCUCCUUUCUUCUUCGUCUUCUUGGUUGUACUGUUAUCCCUUUUGACCUUGCUCUUUCCCGAGUCUAAUUCAUAAGUUUCCCACAGCAAAUCCAUUCCUUCACCACUACUAUCACUAGGAUUAUUCCUUUCUUCAUAAAGUUUGCAUGCCAAUGUCCUUGUCCACUCUUUUUCUUUCCUCAUAGAUCCAUAACACCCCAGAUUAUUAUUAUUAUUAUUAUUAUUAUUAUUAUUAUAACCCUGCUCAAGAUUACUCCAAGAAUGUGCCUUUUUCACUUUAUCCACCUCCUUGGAUCCAUCUCUCAUCAUCAUUGUCAUUUCUUCUUUUUGUUGUUUUUCAACAACUUUAUCGACCUUUGUGCCCAAUGCCUCAAUUUUCUUCCUGUCCACAUUAUCAGUCCAAAUCUUGCUUUCAAGCUCAUCCAUUUCUUUCAACAACUCUUCCACCGCAACCCCUGAAUUUUCAAGAUCCACAGUAGUAGCACUGACGGCAGAGUCUUUUUCUUGGACUGAAGAAUCAAGAACUGAUUUUUCACUUCCUUCAUCGAAUGUAUAAUCAAAGAAUUCAAUUGGGUUUUCUCGAAACACGAUCUUGUAAACUUCAAAAUCCUCCAAAUGAUCGAACUCGUCAAUUUUAGCAUCAGCCUCCAGAAGAGCAUGGCAUAAAGAGAGCAGAAUACUACUAACCUUGUGUGAGUCAGGGGAAGAAGAUGAAAAACAAGCAGGGGAGAUGGUGUUGGUGAGAAGUGCGAGGAGCAAAAGAGAAGUGGUAAAGAAGAGAGGGGAGAGAAAGAAGAAGAAUUUAACUAGGUAAGGAGAGAAGAAAACCAAGUAGGAGAAGUAAAGAGGGUGAGAGAGAAUGAAGUAACACAAGAGAUUUAACUCAGAAAUAAGGUGACUCAGAAAUUGAUGAGGCAUUUUCUUCUCCAUAGGAGGAGUUAGAUUAAUAAUGAAAUAUAGAAGAAAUGGGGAAGAAGAGAAGAAUUUCUUCUGUUCCUAUUUUAGUGUAAGCAAACAGGGAAAAGAAAAAGUGUUUGUCUGAUUGCGUGGAUUCUGAAUGCGGCGUUGAUGUAGGAAAUAAAAUGCACUCUCUUUCAUCAUGUCUCGUUGGUUUGGUCGUGUGGUGAGGGCUGUGAGAAUUUAAUAAAGAGAGGGUAAAGUCGCCUCAACAAUCCGUACUACUCAUUCCAUUUCAUUUUAGUUGAUCAUUAUUGACUUAACAAAUUUUUUUAAAAAAUUAUUUAAUAGAGAUUUAUUUACUAAAAUAAUUCAAAUUCUAUUAAUUAUGCAUUAAAAAUAUAAAUUUGAGUACAUAUAUUUUGUUUAAUCUUUUAAUGUUGAAGGUAAUAUUGGAAGAACAUAAUAAAAUGCUCUUGAUUUCAUGAAAGAGACAACUAAAUUGAAACAAAUAUCUAUCUAUAAUAUAUUAAAAAUGUGAACGCCUUUAGAAAAGUGAAUUGAACUUUUUGACAUUCAUUAUCCGCUUUAGACAAAAUCGUCUUUUAUCCUUUUCCUACAAUUAAAGUCUAAAAAAUAAAUAUAAUAAAAUUUUUCAUUACCGUAUUUUCCAUGUAAUAAAAUUUUCCUAACUAAAAUUAUCCUUUACCCAAAUAAUAAAAUUUAUUUUCCUUUACCCAUAUUUUUCAUAUAACAAAAUUUUCCUAACUAAAAUUCUUCUUUACCCAAAUUUUCCUUUAUUCGUUUUCUAUUUUUUAACCAUAUUUAGCUUUUCUCUCUAAUAAUUUCCUUCACCCGUUUUAUUUUAUUUUUAAUCUUAUUUGAUUCCUACUUGGUUUCUUUCAACCACGGCUUUUCCUGUCCUUAUAUAUAAACGCUCGAACUUUUUAGUUCAUUAUUAUAAAUAGCUGCGAUCUUUCAUUGUUUACCGUCUCAGCACAGUUUAUUGUUUUCUGUCUCAUCUAACUUGAUUCGUUUGCAGGUCAAGAUUGAUGGAUGCUUAAUUUUCUAACCCUCAACUUCUUCACUGUUCUUGUCAACAUAAUAGAAUUCAACGUGUGUGUAUAUAUGUAUCUUCUUUGUUUUCAUUCAAUUCAUUCUUUAGGGUUAAAAUUUUCGCUCAGACGAGAAUUAUUUUCAUCAAAAUCGCAGCUUUGUGAUCACUAUUUUCUAACCUUAAACUUCUUUACUGUUCUUAUCAACAUAGUAGAAUUCAACAUGUGUGUAUAUAUGUAUCUUCUUUGUUUUCAUUCAAGUCAUUCUUUAGGGUCAAAGUUUUCGUUCAUACGAGAAUUAUUUUCAUCAAAAUCGCAGCUUUGUGAUCAUUAUUGUAUAAUUUUAUUUUAAUUUACAGGUCGUAGAUGAAUGUCGAUUGGCUUUAAAGAAUUUCUUGUGUAGAGGUUAGGUUUAAUUGUAUUGUUUUGAUACCUUUAUUAUCUUAUUAUUUUAUUUUAGUUUACAGAUGAUACAUGAAUGUUGGCCGACUUUGAGGAAUCUUUUUAGGUAAAGGUUAAGUUUAAUUGUAUUGCCUUAGUAUCUCUAUAGAUUAUUAUUUUGUUGUAGUUUACAGUUCGUAAAUGAAUGUCGAUCGAAUUAGAGGAAUUUUUGUGUUAUUGUAUUGUUUUUAUAUCUCUUUUAUCGUAUUAUUUUGUUGUAAUUUAUAGGUGGUAAAUAAAUAUUGGUCGGCUUUGAGAAUUUUUUUUAGGUAAAUGUUAGGUUUAAUUGUACUGUUUCAAAAAUAUCUCUGUUUUGAAUUUUUUUUUAUGUAAAGGUUAGGUUUAGUUGUAUUAUUUUAAUAUCGCUAUUAUCGUAUUAUUUUGUUAUAGUUUACAGGUGGUAGAUGAGUGUUGGACCGCUUUGAGUUAGAUUUAAUUGUAUUGUUUUGAUGUCCCGAGUGAGAAUCUUUCGACCCAGCAUAGGCUCUUGGUUAUGGAUUUAGGUAUAAAAAAGAAUAGAAAGAGGAGGACUAAGGAGUGUAGACCGAGAAUUAAGUGGGGCGUCCUGACGCCAGUGAACGCGUGGGAGAUAGGGGAGAGGUUGGCGGGAAUGGGGGUGUGGGAGUGUAGGGGGGACGUGGAUAGUAUGUGGGACAGGGCGGCAAGGUGCAUCAGGGAGAAUGUAAGUGAGGUGUUGGGUGUUUCUAGGGACCGGGCCGGGCACCAUUGGGGGGAUUGGUGGUGGAAUGAAGAGGUGGAGAAGAAAGUGGGGACCAAGAAAGGGGUGUAUGCUAAGUUGGUGGAAAGUAAGGACGAAGAGGAGAAGCGGGUAAACAGGAAAGAGUACAAGCGAGCGAGGAAGGAGGCUAAGUUAGCAGUCACGGCAGCUAAGACGACCGCUUUUGAGAGCUUGUAUGCAGGGUUACAGGAGAAAGGAGGGGAGAAAAAGUUGUUUAGACUCGCUAAGGCUAGGGAGAGGAAGGGUCGUGACCUCGAUCAGGUGAGGUGCAUUAAGGGGGAGGACGGUAGAGUGUUGGUGGAGGACGGCCACAUAAAGAAGAGAUGGCAGUCGUACUUUCAUAGGCUCUUGAAUGACGAGGGGGACAGAGCUAUUGUGUUAGGGGAACUGGAGCACUCAGGGGAGUGUCGGGAUUUUAGCUAUUGUAGACGUUUUAAGGUAGACGAGGUUAGACAGGCAGUCCGCAGGAUGCGAAGGGGUAGGGCGACGGGGCCGGAUGAGAUACCGGUGGAGUUUUGGAAGUUCGUUGGAGAGGCUGGUGUAAGGUGGUUGACUGCAUUGUUCAAUGAAAUUUUCAGGACAGCAAAGAUGCCCGAGGCGUGGAGGUGGAGUACCAUGAUCCCCCUCUAUAAGAAUAAGGGGGACAUUCAGUGUUGCAAUAACUAUAGGGGGAUUAAGUUACUGAGUCACUCUAUGAAGAUCUGGGAGAGAGUGGUCGAGGUGAGGCUGAGACGGAUAGUGUCUAUCUCGGAAAACCAGUUCGGAUUUAUGCCCGGCCGCUCGACGACGGAGGCAAUUCACCUGGUACGGCGGUUGGUGGAGCAAUAUAGGGAAAGGAAGAAGGAUUUGCACAUGGUGUUCAUCGACCUAGAAAAGGCGUACGACAAAGUCCCCAGGGAGGUGCUUUGGAGAUGCUUGGAGGUGAGUGGAGUACCGCAGGCAUAUAGCAGAGUAAUUAAGGAUAUGUAUGAGGGAGCGAAAACCCAGGUGAGGACGGCGGGAGGAGACUCAGAGCAUUUCACUGUCCUGACAGGAUUGCAUCAGGGAUCUACUCUUAGUCCCUUUUUGUUUGCGCUAGUAAUGGAUGUGUUAACGCGGCGUAUCCAAGGGGAGGUGCCGUGGUGUAUGCUUUUUGCAGACGAUGUAGUCCUGAUAGAUGAGACGCGAGGGGGUGUGAACGACAAAUUAGAGCUGUGGAGGCAAACUCUGGAGUCUAAAGGGUUCAGGGUGAGCAGAACCAAGACAGAGUAUGUGGAAUGUAAGUUUAAUGACGUAAGGCGAGAGAAUGAGGUAGUGGUGAGGCUAGAAGCGCAGGAGGUAAAGAAAAGGGAUAAGUUCAAGUACCUCGGGUCCGUGAUCCAGAGUAACGGUGAGAUUGACGAGGAUGUCUCGCACCGUAUCGGGGCGGGAUGGAUGAAGUGGAAACUUGCAUCGGGGGUGCUGUGUGAUAAGAAGGUGCCGCCCAAGCUUAAAGGUAAAUUCUAUAGGGUGGUAGUCCGUCCGGCCUUGCUGUAUGGAGCGGAGUGUUGGCCAGUUAAGAACUCCCACACCCAAAGAAUGAAGGUGGCAGAAAUGCGGAUGUUGCGCUGGAUGUGUGGACUGACCCGAAGGGAUAGAGCUCGGAAUGAGACUAUCCGGGAGAAGGUUGGGGUGACUUCAGUGGAGUGUAAGAUGCGGGAAGCACGAUUGAGAUGGUUCGGACACGUGAAGAGGAGGGGCAUGGAUGCCCCGGUCCGUAGGUGUGAGAGGCUAGCGUUGGAUGGUUUUAGACGGGGUAGGGGUAGACCGAAGAAGUACUGGGGUGAGGUGAUUAGGCGGGACAUGGAACAGUUACAGCUUACCGAGGACAUGACCCUAGAUAGGAAGGUCUGGAAGACGCGAAUUACGGCAGAGGAUUAGGGCCUGUUCGGGUCGCUAAUGUAGGGAGGUAAUUGGUGGGGGUGUAUUCCUGCCGUGUUCCAUGUUUUAUUACGAAUCUGUUUGCUUUCCUCUGCUUUCCUCUGUUUUAUAUUACUUAUGGGUGCCGUAUUUAUGUUAUGUAAUCUGCUUCUGUGCUUUACUAUGUGUUUGUGUGGUAUCUCGCGCCUUGAGCCGGGGGUCUAUCGGAAACAGCCUUUCUACUUCAUCAGAGGUAGAGGUAUGGACUGCGUACAUCUUACCCCCCCAGACCCCACUAGGUGGGAAUACACUGGGUUUGUUGUUGUUGUUGUUGUUGUUUUGAUGUCUCUAUCAUUAUAUUGCUUUAUUGCAGUUUAUAGGUGGUAGAUGAAUGUCGAUCGGCUUUUAAAAAUAUUUUUGAUAAAUGUUAGGUUUAAUAAAUAAAUUCUCCAUCUUAAUAUACUCGAAAUAUAUUGAAUUUAAUUAUUGUAUUCAUGUUUACUAUUUAAACAAAUAUCUUAUUUAGUGUAACAUUUAAACUCAUUAAAGUGAGAUACGCACACAAGACGCGUACACAUAAAUUAGUUUUUAGAAAAAGGGUAAACUAAAAUGAAACGGAAGGAGUAAUUCAUUGCGCACAUUGCAUUUCCUUAAAUAAUACUGUAAUAAUUAAUUUAAUAUUUUAUCACAGUACUUUAUAUCAGUUCUUUCAUUCUUUUUCUCACCUUGUAACGGAAUGACGCCCAAAAUGCAGUUUGCUUAAGUCUUGCUGCCUCACUUUUACAUUCGUCCAACAUGUCCUCAACUUCAUAUGCAGCAGCAUCACGGGCGGAGCUACGUUCUAGCAAAGGUGGUCAGAUGAACACCUUUGUCAGAAAAUUAUACCAUAUAUACAAAUAAAAUGUUGCUUUAAUGGGUUAAAUGUAUAAUCAGAACAACCUUGAAAUGUGAAGUUGCUCUAGUCCUGUGGUGGUAGAUGCUUCGGGAUUGCACAUGCUCAUUUAGGCUGCAUUUUGUUUUUAAGAUUCAAACGUCUGUGUAGACAUUUAAAAUUUAUGGAACUCUUCAAGAAGAAUCAAAUUCUGUUAGAAUUUAGAAUUUUAGGAGUUCUAGGAGACUACUUUACCCCAAUCCCGCCUAUUUAAAGGGUAAUAUAUUCCCUAACAUUUUGAAUAUCCCAUAAACUGAUGGGUAUUCAUAAAAAGAUCAGGAUCUUUAAUAUCCCACAAAAUCCUGGGAUAUUCACAAAGAGAUCAUCCUAUGUUCGAGAAAUACGCCACUAACGGCCCUCGAAUUACGGAGAAAAUUGAAAGAAUCGAGUGAAGAAUCAAGGGAGGAACAAAUUUUAUCCACCCCGUUUAUCAAUAAAGUUGUUGUUUCUUCAUAUUUUAUUUAUAGUUGAAGUUUAUUUUCCAUGGAUUAAAUUAUGUUGGAAACAAAUUGGUAGGCCUGGUGGGACCAAAUCUGCCCUUUCUCUCAUAAAUCAGAUCUACAAAUUUGUAGCCGCCGCAUCAUAAAUCAGAUCUGCAAAUUUAUAGCCGUCACAUAAAGAUGGAAGCUCUAUUGGUACUUCAAGACUCGUCAUCAAAUCUACACUUCGACAAGCCUUGAAGCAGGGAGCAUUUGUAGACAUCUAAAAUUUGUGGGACUCUUCAAGAAGAAUCCAAAUUCUGUUAGAGUUCUAGGAGUUCUAGGAGGCUACUUUACCCUAAAUCUCGCCUAUUUAAAGGGUAAGAUAUUCCCUGAAAUAGGCAUCUUGAAUAUCCCAAAAACUGAUGGGUAUUCGUAAAAAGAUCAGGAUCUCUAAUAUCCCACAAAAUCAUGGGAUAUUCACAAAGAAAUCAUCCUAUGUUCGAGAAAUACGCCACUAACGACCCUCGAAUUACGGAGAGAAUCGAGAGAAGAAUCAAGGGAGGAACAGAUUUGUAACCACCCUGUUUAUCAAUAAAGUUGUUGUUUCUUCAUAUUUUUAUUUGUGGUUGAAGUUUAUUUUUCAUAAAUGAAAUUAUGUUGGAAACAAAUUGGCACGCCCAGUGGGACCAAAUCUACCCUUCAUCUCUUCUCUCAUAAAUCAGAUCUGCAAAUCUGUAACCGCCGCAUCAUAAAUUAGAUCUGCAAAUUUGUAGCCACCACAUAAAGAUGGAAGCUCUACUGGUUCAAGAGUUGUCAUCAAAUCUAUACUUCGACAAGCCUUGAAGUAAGGGACAUUUGUAGACAUCUAAAAUUUGUGGGACUCUUCAAGAAGAAUCCAAAUUCUGUUAGAGUUCUAGGAGUUCUAGGAUGCUACUUUACCCUAAAUCCCGCCUAUUUAAAGGGUAACAUAUUUCCUGAAACAAACAUCUUGAAUAUCUCAAAAACUAAUGGGUAUUCGUAAAAAGAUCAGGAUCUUCUCUAAUAUCCCACAAAAUCAUGGGAUAUUCAUAAAGAGAUCAUCCUAUGGUCGAGAAAUACGCCACUAACGACCCUCAAAUUAUGGAGAGAAUCGAGAGAAUCAAGGGAGGAACAGAUUUGUAACCACCCCGUUUAUCAAUAAAGUUGUUGUUUCUUCAUAUUUUUAUCUGUGGUUGAAGUUUAUUUUCCAUGAAUUAAAUUAUGUUGGAAACAGUUUGAAUUUGAAUGUACAUCUGAAUGAUUAAGAUGUUGUCUCUAGAUCUGAAAACUGAAUGAUUAAGACUGUUUGUGUUUUCAACAUCUGAAUGUACAAAAAUAAAAUUAUUUGUAUAUAUAAUAAAAUAAAAAUACAAUUCAAAUAAAAAACUAAUUAUAUAUCAAAAAGGUAUGUAAUUUAAUAUUUAUUAGUUGAAAAAAUUAUUAUUUGAUUGAAAAAAGUAUUUAGGUUUGUUAGUGAUAGUGGAGAUGUUUUAUAAUGGUGGUUGCGGUGAUAAUGAUUAAUGUUAAUGAUGAUAGUAGUGAUGGUUGAUUGUAGUGACUGCUAUGAUGGUGGUGGGUGAUAGUGGUGGUGGUGGUUGUGAUGCGAUGUUGCUAAUUGUUAGUAGUUAGAGGUGUUCAUUGUGAUGGCUGAAAAAUGAAUGCAUGAUAGUUGAAGAUGUGUUGGUGCUAGUUGGAGAUGUUGUUAGUUGUGAUGGUGGAUAUGGUUGUUAGUAAAUAUAAAUUGUAGCAAUAACAGUGAUUGAAGUAAUGGUAGAGGUGGCGUUACUAGUGACAACAGUGGUGGCCGCCGACGAAUGUGUGAAGGUUGUGAUAUAUUAGUGGUAGUUAGCGGUGGUGCUAGUUGUGAUAGAUGAGUUGGUCGAUAGUAGAAAUUGGCCGGUAGUGGUUGAUGAUGGUGAUGUUAUUGACGGUGGUGGCGGCGGUAAAUAUAAUUAGAAUAAUAGAGGUAGUAGGUGUGGUGGCGGUUGAUAAUAAUGGUUGGUAACGAUAUUUGUUGUUAGUGGUGAUUGUGAUGAUGGAGAUAGUUGGUGGUGGUGGGUGGUGGUUGACAAUGAUGGUGGUGGUAGAGGUAGUGACUGAUGAUUAUGAAUAAAGUGGCGGUGAAUAUUAUCCAACAUCAGAAUACCUUUUCAGACAUAUUAUGACUUGAUUUUAGAUCUGAAUGAUUAAGACCUAUUAAGAGCUAAAGUCUUAAUAAAAAACAAACGCACUUAAUGAUCUGAAGUCUGAACCAUUCAGAUUCAGACCUCCAUUAAGUACAAACAAAUGAGCCCUAAGUGCACAAGUUCGAACCCCUGCGGGAUUAAUAUUUGUAAACGCCUUUUUUUUCCCCUUAAAACGCAGGCGUUUUCUAAAACCUUAUAUAGAAUUAGUAAACAACUAGUAAAUUUGGCCACGCUUCGCGUGAUUAUGAAAAACUCAUUGGAUUCACAAACUAAUUUUUUUACUAUACACAAAAAAUAAAAAAAAUUAGAAUACUAUUUAUUAGUCUUUAAAUCCAAAUAGAUUAUAUUUUAGGUUUUUAGUUCAUUUUAAUAUUAACACACUAUUUUAUAUUUUUUUCUCUAAUCUUUCAUCACCCAACGAAAUUCUUAGGAAACUAAUUCACCCAAAGAAGAAAACAAAGAUCCAUUAAAUUACCGUCGUCAUUGUUUUUGGUUUAGUAUAGUAUUAAUAAUAUACACAAAUUAAGUAGAAAAAAGUUUUUAAGAAAAUCAAGAAAAUAUCAAAAUAUUUGUAAAAUCAUUAACCAAAAUUUCAAGAUUUUUUUUUCCAUAAAUAUUUUGCUCCUUCCAAUAUAAUGACUGAAACGUUAUCACAAUUAAAAUUAUACAACAACGGUUACAAAUAGUGAUUAUUAAAUAUGAAAAGGAGCAUCAAUUCAUCAUGAAUUCACUUUUUCCUCACACUCUAUGUAUCUUACAACAUCUAUUUUUAUUUUGAUUCAACCUCCCUAAUUUGCCAUCAAAAUGAAAUAUUAGGUCAAAAGAAAGAAUGUUAUUUACGUACUUGAUUUUGUUCUUUUGCCCCUUUGCUUUUCUUUCCUUCUUUUGUUCUUUCUCUAUCCUUUAACUUAUAGUAUUUCCUUGCUCACUAAUAUUUUUUCUUCUAUUCUCCCUCUAAUGGGCUUUUAUAAAAAAAACCCUUAAUGUGCAAUUCACAUAAAUACACACUUUCUCUGUGUAUGCAUUAUAUGCAUGCAUCUCAAUCCUACCUUCUUUUACUCUAUUCUCAUACCCUUCAGUGUUAAUAAUAAAAGCUCUUCCUCGUAUUAAUGUAUAUGAAACCUAACAUUAAGGUAAGAAUUACGUUACAUGAAAAUAUGUAACAAUCAGACUUUUUUUUCAUUAGCUUGUUAGCUUAUCAGCUAAAACCAUCAUUCUAUGCUUGCUUGGUCACUUUUGUGAUAAGACAUAUGUCUAUGUUUUAACAACGAUGAGAUGUCGCUAAACUUGUCAAAAUUGAGGGGAAAAAAUUCACAACUUCCGCCUGCAAAUCUUUGUCUUAUGAACCUGAAAAAUAAUCAAGUAUAUUAGCACAUAUUUUAAGAAAUAACAAACUACAAUUGUGCUAUUUUGUAAAAGGUUAGAAUUUCUUGAGACAAACGAAUGUAUUUGAAUGCAAAUUAACAAGAAAUAAUUUUGUUGUCACAUAACUUAAGAAGUAACAAUUGACUUCCUAUUUUUAUCAAAGCACCUAACUGAAAAAAAUAAGAUAAGAAAAGAACAAAAAUGAAAAGAAAGAAGGCAAAAAUCCAAAAAAAAAAAAAAGAGUGGAUGGUCAAUAAUACCUACAACUUGAAAAAUUACUAAAUUUAUAAUCAACUCUAUCAUGUCCAUUCCAUUAUGAGUUUUCUAUUUAAUACUUGGGAUACAAAGAGGUUGCAUAACCGAAAACAUAAAAGUAAUUAACUUUGAAUACAAAAUGUACACAAUUGAAAGACUAAGCUAAUUACAUAAUAAAGAGAGUUUGAUUAGUAUAGUUUGGAGUUAUUUUAUUUUUAACAUAACACAUAAAUAAGAGAAAAAUCUCAAAAAAGGAGAAAAAAGAUAAAUAGCAAUGGAGGCUUCUAAAGCAUGCCAUAUAGGAUUGACUAUUGAUCUCUUAUAUAUAUAGAGAGAGAAAGAGAGAUUAAUUAAUGAUAGAUAGAUAGGUAGAAUGGAUUUGAGAUGAUUUGACUUUAGGUUCCCUUUUCUUUUAUUAAAGAAAAUUUAAAUAAACUUAAAAUUAAUUAUUUAAUUUAAAAUUAAUAAAGAAAUUUUAAAAUUAUCUAUAUUGUUGCUAAAUGCAGAAAAGCUCUAUAUAGAUUUUCUUUUAAAAAAGACCUCAUUUUAUUUUGCUCUCCACCUUUCAUAUCGUCACCAGAGGUCAACAAAAUCUUGAAGCAUAAUUUUUUUUCCUUUUUUUUUUGCUUAUUGUUUUACUUCAUAUUGAAUUAAACUUGAACACUAAAGCUAAACAUUAUAUGAUUUGAUUUUAAAUUUUUGAUAUAUUUAUUCAUGAAAAUAUGAUUAUUUAAUUUUAAAAUUUUCAAUGCACCAUUCGUCCAAAAAAAUUUCAGUGAUGUAAUAUUUGAAUACCUUUCGUGAAAUUUCUGAUUCCGCUAUUGAGCAGCAUUGAGUUUCUCUAACCAGUUCUUUAUUGUCUUGUCCUUCAAUUGCCUCUCCUGGGCAUCUUCUAGCACCGCUUGAAUACUAGAAAACAUGCUCCAACGUUUUUGGAACUUCUCCUUUAACUAAGAAACAAUGCAAGUUCCCCUUGGAUGAAGGAGGUCAAAUUGUCAAACAGAACUUGAAGGAAAGCCUCAGCUUUAGGUUCAAUUCACUAUAACUCAAAUUAGAUAUAUGUAACACAGGGUGUUGUGAUUAUUAUAUUUAUAGUAAAAUAUGUAAAUGACAAUUUGUAAGCUCUAACCAAAUCUACAAAGUGAUUUGUAUUUAUCUAUAAAAGUCAGUUUUCUUUGUUUUGCAUCAAUAAAGUCACUUAACUAUUCAUUCAUAGAAAGCUAGUCAUGACAGAAAUAACUUAGAUAAAACCACCAAAAACGGCCAUUAAUAACUUGUUCUUUGUAAAACCACUGGAAAAUAUACUCUUUUUCUCAAGUGGAGUGUUAACUCAGAACCCUUCAAGUCUCAAUCGCUAACGGAAACUUUAUAUGCAGAACACAUAUACAUAUGUCAUUUUUUUUUUCAAAAAAAGAAAUAGGAAGAAAAAACUGGCUUUUGUAAGCUACCCUUGUAAUAUUGUUCAAGUGGACAAAAUGCUGGUUACUUUAAUGAAUCUGGAAAAUUUGGAAGAUUAUCAAUUGCUAAAUAGAGCAAAAGGAAAUGAGGCUCCAGCAAUUUAUCUAAGUUAAUGAUGAAGUACACCGAAAGGGACAGUUUUCGGGUGCUUUUACAAAGAGUAAGUUAUUAAUGGUGGUUUCCCGGUGAGUUUAUCUAAGUUUCCAGAAUUUUGACGUUCAGAGACACAAAUGAAUAGUUAAGUGACUAUAUUGAUAUAAACAACAAAAAAACGGCUUUGGUAAAUAAAUUCAUCAAGUUUGAGUGACUAUAUGAGGAAUUUACUAGUAUAACAUUCUUAUAUGCUAAGUUGAGAUAAAAAGCCAGCGAGACAAAUGAUAUAUCUUCGAUGGUGACAGUUUCUUGAUUGAUGCUUAGGAAGAAAAACAAGAACAAGAAUGUAACACCCGCAAUUCGAGCUAGAACGAAAAACCGUCAUUUCUAUGCGUAAAUGAUCCAAGAGCCAUAAAUCCUAUGAAAAUUUUGUGUGUUAAUCAAUAAUGUAGUGUGAGGAUCUAGUUGAGUAUGAGUCGAGAUCAUAGAGGUCCCCUAACUCAAGGACUAGUUGAAAGCUUUCCUAUCGUUCAAGUUUUAGUGAGCGUCAAAACUUGGGUCAAUUUCAAUCGACCAUAACUCCUUAUAUAUGAUGAACUGGGUGUCCUACUACAUAUCAAAUGAAAGGUCAUUGAGUUCUAUUUCCAACGCCACAAAUUUUGCCAAAAUACGAUAUCAAAGAAAAACGUUGUGCCCAUUUUACUCUAGCAUAUCAGCCUAGCAGCUGUCUGACGACAUUUCUGACGGCUUCUCACAUUUCUGACGACUUAUCAGAAAAUGUCGUCAGAUUAAGGCAAAAAGGCAUAAAUUUAAACAUUUUGUGACGAAAUGAGCUGACGGCUUGUCACAUAUGUGACGACAUCAGCCCAAUGUCGUCAGCUGAUAAAUUCAGCAUUUUCCAAAUGUUUUUGGAGGGGUAUUUUGGUAUUUUUCCUCCACCCCAUAGCUCCAUAAAUAUAAGAUUAAGCCCCAAAUUUACCAAAAUAUACUCCUUUCUCUCAAAUACUCUCAAGAACCAAACCCUAGAGCCUCAACCUAAGAUUCAAGAUCCCUUAAAAUUUCACCAUUAAAUUCCAAAAUUGAUUCAAGAAUUAGAAUCCCCAAACUAAGAUCUUCAAGAAUCAUCCAUCAAAAGCACAAAUAGAGUUCCAAAAGCAACUGUUCAUCCAAAGUUCAUAAUCUAAGGUACGUGGAAUUUUCCUAAAAUCUCAUGGGCAUGGAAAUCAUGAUUUUUAGAAUGGGAUUUUGUAUUUAUGAAGAUAAUCAUGUUUUUAGAAGUUUUGGCAGUAUUGACCCCUCUUUUGUUAUGAUUUUUCCCAUCUUUCAUAUGAUAUGAAUUGUUCUGAAUUGCAUCUUGAAAGCAUGAUACGAAAUGUCUUGAUUUAUACUAUGACUUGAAUAUGAUUUUUGAAAUAAAAAGAGAGGGUUAUGCAUGUUGUGAAAUGUUGAAUAUGCAUAUAAUGAAAGAGUGCAUGGUUUUGCCAAAAGCGCAUGACCACCAUAUGUUUGUAGAACUCUUGCAUAGUUUUGACUUAUGUUUCGAAACAUGAAAUCUCUUAUGCUAUUUGCAAUGUUGGGUGGUCUGAAUUGGGUUUUAAAUGAAAGAAUUAUGCUUAAUGCAUUAUGGCCCAGAAUUGCGACUUGCAAGUCUUGGUAUGACGAUAUCAAAUCAGACAAUGUCACAACAGACACAGAAAUUAGACUUUAUCAGACUUUCAUGAUUUAGAAACCUCAAAAUGAUACAUGUUCAGAAAAGGUUAAAAAUGAGCAUAAAGAGAUGUUAGGUGGUUCCCCGAAGAGGGCACGAGUUCAGAUAACUCAUUGCCCAAAAUCGUGAUUUGCCGAUCCGAGUAUAUUAUUGUACGCUAACGACGACCCUGUGACGUAGUAGAUUCAGAGACUCCCAACCCUUGCGGCAAACUUGGGUUGGAGGCUUCCCCGCCGAGUCAAUGACGGAUUCCAUACAGCCCGUGGAGUAUCAGAAUUAUAGGGGAGUGCCACCUAACUCAGAAGUAAUACAAAGAUUAGAAAAAUGGCAUUGACAGAAAGGUUUUAUGAUUAUCAGAAAUGCCCAUGUGUUUCGAAUUUACAUCUUUCAUGAUGUUUUAUGACGUGCUCUCAACUAUUUUAUUUAUAUAAAAGCUUUAUUUUGGAUUUGCUCUGCGUACCAGUACAUCUGUAUUGACCUCCCUCCCUCCAGGUUCUGAGGCACAGUCUAGGGGUCCUGAUAAGUGGUAGAUUUCAUCAGACAGGAGUGAAGAGUACCAGUUGGUGAGCCUUCUAUAUUUCAGAAGGCCUAGUUUCUUUAAGACAGUUAUUAUUUAUUAUGGUUUUUGGUCUACUGGGAGCCUUGUCCCAGUUUUCAGACAAUUGUUAUUUGAUCACGUAGUAGAGAUUUCGCAGACGAUUUUCAGACAGUGUUUAGUUAAUAUUGGAUUUUAUUCCUCAUUGUUAAAUUAAAUUCAGAGUAUGACCAUGUUUUCGUAGCAGACUUUAUUUUCGCAUUUCCUAUUUAUAUAUGAAUGGUGUAUAUGAUUACAAGUUAGAAGGGCUCUCGGGCCUUCAUGAUUCGGGAUGUUCGUCACAGCCAGGGCCCUGGUUCGGAUCGUGACAAAGAAGAAACAUGAUAUCUACUUGAAGGAUUAUAUUACAUAAAAAGAAGAAUAAACACGAAACGAACUUUGUAAAAUAAUUGAAAAGAAAUCAAUCUCUUAAAGUUUUACGUACUAGCCCAACAAUUUGUAUCGGUGAAGAAAAGAAUUUAGUUUGAUUGAAGCGUCUCUCUUUAGAAAUAAAUGUUUCAUCUACUGGCCCAAAAAUUGAGUUUGGAUCUUGUUAAGCGUUGCCUGGACAUUGUCCAUGGUAAUUCGGUCCUGGGGCAAAUCGACGGUACAUUCAAGAGCUACUUCCAGUACUGAUCUCAAACAACAAACGUUCAUCAUCUCUUGAAAAUAAAUUGGCAUCCACAAUGUCCAUGAUCCUAUGAGAGGAUAUGCUUCCGCUACCCAUUUCUUCAAAGUAAGCUCUCUAACAAAUAGAUCAUCUACUGGCUUCUUUCUUGUGAAGGUUUCCACCAAUAAAAUGCCGUAGCUGUAAACAUCCCCCAUUGUUGACACUAUCCCUUCUGACCCGUAUUCUGCAAAAUUUUCCCGUUUAGUUCAUCAAAUUAGCCAUCAAAAGGAGAAAUCAAAUACAUUUUAAGCAUAUGUAUCUAGAUGCCUAGUCCUCUUAUAGAGGUUCAUUAAUUAACCUAAUUGGUUGCUUAUGAAAAUACAAUUAUGGAUGUUGAAGAACAUGCUAUUCUUCAUUAAAAGAGAAAUGGUUGGGGCCCAUUAGAAUGAAAAAUAUCUUCGCAUCUAGGGAAGUUUCAGGCUGUGGAAAUAUGGGUUUUUUUUCAGUAUUGUAAGGAUUCUUAACCAUCAGUAACUUAAGUCACGAUGACAGAAAUUCGCUCCCGCAAGGAGAAACUUUUAAGUCUGCUAAACUAGUUUAUUCAUUGAGAACCUAAAGUUUGAAACCAUGAAAUUUAAAUCUUGGAUAUACCUGCUAUAUAAAUACAUACAGAUACACAUAUACAGUAUAAGUUAAAGAAAUUAGUUAAUAGAGAAGUAACCUGGUGCCAUGUAGCCAAUGGUGCCUAAGGUCUUGGUCAAUGCCACUGGAUCAUGCGCCAUCAAGAGUUUGGAUAUACCAAAGUCACUUACUCUGGCAACCAUGUUUCCAUCCAAAAGAAUGUUACUUGGUUUUAAGUCACAAUGGACCACGACAAAUGAAUGGCCUUGAUGUAGUUACUCUUUAAGGCACAAGCCACAUCAACCAUAAUUUUUAGCCUCUGGAUUAAAUCCAAGAAAUUUUUGUGAGAGUAAAGCCAAUAAUCAAGAUCUCCAUUAGGCAUGUACUCUAGCACCAAUGCCUUAAAAUCAAGAUUUGCACAACUUCUUAUCACCUUAACAAGAUUCCUAUGCCGAAUGUUACGCAAAACCUUACACUCCAAAUCAAACCUGUUGAAUGCAGCUUGCACUUGUGCAUUGAAAACCUUCAUAGCAACUACUGUCCCAUUUGUAAAUGUCCCCUUAUAAACCAAACCAAGGCUUCCCUUUCCAAUCAAAUUCGAUUCUUCAAAGUUGUUAGUCCCUUUAACAGUUUCGUAGUAAGAAAACCUCUUGUGUGAUAAUUCACCCUACCAAUCGGACCACAAAGGAAUAAGUUGGUUGUUCCGUUUUCGAUAUUUCAACCACCAAAUACUGCUUAAAAUGGCUAUGACUAUUGCUCCAGCUACAACUGGUCCAAGAAAAAAAUUGUAGUGCUGUUUUGCUCCUGUUUCUUCUCAUAUCGCUCUGGUUUUUGCAUGCCUUGACGAGGAAUCUAGCAAUCCACAUAACUCUGUGUUGCCGAUGAAUGAUUCAGCAGUAAAAUUACCAAAAGGCCCUCCAUCUGGAAUUUCACCAGAUAACUCAUUGAAAGAGACAUUUAAAUAGAUGAGAUGCUCAAGCUUUGUCAAUGACAUUGGAAUUUGGCCCGAUAAAUUGUUAUGUGAGAGAUCCAAGUAUUCCAAGCUGACCAAAUUUUCAAAUGACUUAGGUAUAGCACCAUCUAACCUAUUCAUAUCUAAUGAAAGAUUAACCAAAUUCUGAAGUUGUCCAAUGGUGCUUGGAAUUUGACCAAACAACUCAUUGCCUGAUAGAUAUAACUCACUUAAACCCCUCAUAUUUCCAAUUUCAAUGCCAAAGGACCAUUUAACUGAUUAUACAACAAAUUCACAAUUGAGAUAUCCUUAUUACUCCAAAAAUUUAAUGGAAUACUUGAACUUAAAGCAUUGGAAUCUAAAUAAAUAUUUCCCAAACACCCUAGUACUUUCCCUGUAAGCCGAUUUCUUCUCAAGUCCAAAAAGUACAUUUCUUUGAUAUUGCAUAAGCUUUGAGGUAUGAUCCCAUCUAAUUUGUUCUCAUACAUUCUCAAAGUUUGUAACUUGUUCAAGUUUCCCAAUUCUUGAGGAAUUGAACCAAUCAACUCAUUGGCUCCCAGUGUUAACCAUGACAAGUUAGUCAAGUUACCAAUUUCAACUGGGAUUUCCCCCCUGAUUCCACAGUCAUAGGCGAUGAACCUCUCAAGAGAUGACGACAAGUUAGUCAAGGAUGAUUUCGGAAGAGUGCCCCUAAACUGGUUGUCUCCAAUCAUUAAAAAUGUCAUGAAUUUGCAAUGUGAGAGGGAUAUUAGAAAACUUAAUUCACCCGUAGAAGGAUCAUUUGUAAACUGAUUCCUCUGCAAGUUGAUGCUUUGAAUCUGCUGGAGAUUUACUCCAAGAUCAAUUGGUACAUUUCCACUAAACAUGUUCCUUCCAAGAUCAAGAAAGUUGAGCUUAGUGGCAUUCGAUAUAGAGUCAGGAAGUGUACCACAAAACUGAUUAAUCCCAAGGUAAAGUCCCUUGAUUUGGAAGGCUAUACACUAAGUCUGAAGGAAGUUUGCCAGACAGACUAUUUGCAGCAAGUGCUAUUACUUUUAGCGAUGAAAUGUUGAAAAUUCCAUGAGGAACUUCACCUGAUAGCAUGUUGGAUCCAAGAUAUAAUUCUUCAAGACUAGAAAGAUGUCCCAGUUCUUGAGGAAUAUUACCACAGAUUUUAUUCUCACCAAUGUCUAUCAUCACCAAAGUUGACAAAUUCCCAAGAGUUGAUGGCAGUGUUCCAACUAACUCGUUUCUUCGAAGGCUUAAUCUUCGAAUUGAAGAGAGGUUCUUCAUUUCAUUUGGUAUGCUUCCUGCAAAUGCAUUCCAAAAACCUAAUUAACGAUCACAUUCACAAUUUGGUUAUGUCUACUCUGGCUGCUCAAUAUUACUAUUACCUGUAAGGUUAUUCCCAGCAAGAAAUAAAUCUUGAAGCUUUGUCAAAUUCCACAUGUCUCUUGGCAAACUCCCUGUUAAUAAAACAUAUGAUGAACACAACCAUAUACUCCUCAUCCCAAUUUAUGAGACAUUUUUCACAUAUCUAAAGUUGACAGACAUAUGCCGUUAUCAGUACAUAUGACUGCUCCCUCGGUCCCAAUUUAUAUGAUGUGGUUAGAUUGGGCAUGGAGUGUGAAAUGACUUAUGAAAUUUGUGAUUGAAAACGAACUCAUAAGUAUAUGUGGUUAUAAAUCAUCCCAUUAAGGUGGAAUUGACAUUUCAAAAUUAAAUUAUUACUAAAAAUAAAAAUGUCUCAUUCUUUGGGAUCGACUAAAACGAGAAAUCUGUCAUAUAAAUUGAAACAGAGGGAGUAGAAAAAGUUCUUCUGAGUUUUGAUCUUAGAAUAUAAUGAUUGAGAAGACAGAAAUGUGACUUAAUAUAUCAAGACAUGAGAUUAGUGGGUCUUCUACUUAACCAAGUGGCAUUAAUUUAUUGGUCCACAUGGACUUUUAACCCCAACCAUAAGACCCAAUCCUUCCCUGCUAAACCCAACUAACUAUGCUCUCCUCAAAUUAGUUUGAAGAAUAAACAAUUAAUGCUAAGAGUAAAAUAGAAAAAUAAAAUUAUCCUUCUUUGAUAUGUCAAAAAUAACAAGUAAAAGUGAAAUUCAAUUAGAAAAUAAGUGAAAAGUAAUUCUGAAUGGGGGAGCGGUAGUAAAUGAAUAGUAAUUAAUAAAUAGUCAUCUAAAUGUUGGAAAAUAUAUACUUAAUAACAAGGAUAAAAUAGAUAGAAAAUAAUAAAUUAUUUCUUAUUUUUUGAAACUGGACAAGUAAAGUUGAACAACUAACUGACAAGUAAAGAUGAAUGAAUGAAGUAAUUUGAAACAACUACUUUCAGAAAUCACGACAAAUAAUUUGAGACGAAGAGAGUACCUGUGAGCUGAUUAUAUGACAAGGAAAGGUAAACAAGUUGUGUGCAUUGAUUCAGCCCACUUGGGAUUUGGCCUACAAAUUGAUUAUCUGAAAGUCAUAAACCUUGCAGAUUUGGAAGCAUAGUACAAAAUCCCUCUGGGAGAUUCCCACUAAUUCUGUUUCGUCCAUUUGGAGGGGGUGCGGAUAUGUAAUAGAUGUAAUAGAUUUAUUAGGUUUCUAGUGAAUCUAUUUUUAUUUGUGCGUGGAUAUUCCUUAAAUUUUGUUUCAAUAUCUUUUAAUGAUUUACUUUUUUUGUAAGAUAUAUUCAUUAAUUUGUUUAUUAUUUUAUCCUGUAGUAACUGCAGAGUUACAAAUUUCUGUAUAAUAAUUUAUCCUAUCUGUACUGUAAUAUAUAUCUAAUUCUAGAUUUUCAAUGUUACUUAUUAUCUUGUGUUGUUCUUCUCGUAGUGAGUUUUUUAAAUUAUAUAAACUAUCACAUGUACUUUUUUCUAAAUUUUCUAAGGUUUCUUCUAUCCAUAUUAAUUUUUCUUUUAGAUUUUCCAUUAUUUUUCUAAUUCGGUUUCUAUAAUUAAUUUCAAUAUUUAGAUUUUCUUGAUUUUCUCUAGUUUGUCUAAUAUAUUCUAACAUUUUUUAAUCUGAAUAAUAUCCUUCUGGGUAAAUUUCUUCGUAUAACUGUUCUAAGNNNNNNNNNNNNNNNNNNNNNNNNNNNNNNNNNNNNNNNNNNNNNNNNNNNNNNNNNNNNNNNNNNNNNNNNNNNNNNNNNNNNNNNNNNNNNNNNNNNNNNNNNNNNNNNNNNNNNNNNNNNNNNNNNNNNNNNNNNNNNNNNNNNNNNNNNNNNNNNNNNNNNNNNNNNNNNNNNNNNNNNNNNNNNNNNNNNNNNNNNNNNNNNNNNNNNNNNNNNNNNNNNNNNNNNNNNNNNNNNNNNNNNNNNNNNNNNNNNNNNNNNNNNNNNNNNNNNNNNNNNNNNNNNNNNNNNNNNNNNNNNNNNNNNNNNNNNNNNNNNNNNNNNNNNNNNNNNNNNNNNNNNNNNNNNNNNNNNNNNNNNNNNNNNNNNNNNNNNNNNNNNNNNNNUUUUUUUUUUUAUCUUUUUUUUUUUUUUUUGUAACUUAUCACCUUAAGUAUUUAUAAGAGUCGUUAGGUAUUUGUGGUAUAUAGCUUAUUCUAGACAUAUAAUUUUUACCAAAAGCUUUUUCUAAUAUUAUUUUUCUUAUAUCUGCUACUUUUAUAUUUCUAAGUGCAUACAAAAUAAGUAUCUUGAAUUUAUCUACCAUCACAUCAGAUAUAUUAUCAUUCAUUUUUCAUAAAUUUGCUUUUUUCAAAAUAUUCCCUUCAAUCACGUACACAACAAAAUAUGGUCAUAUUGGCUUACUAUAUACUAGAUUAUUCUUAAAUAAUAUGUUCUUCCGUCACUAUUAACAUGGUAAUCUGGAUACUUUUUCCCUUAAACAGCGCCUCUACUCUGGUUACUCCCCGCCACGGCUUCUUGCCUCAUUGGUUUCACCUUUAGGAUGGCAUAGUCCUUAGGGAUAUUUCUCCGUUUCCUCUUUGUUAAUAAACUUCUUAACAUAUUAUUCUUCGAAUAAUUCUACUAUAAAGUAACUAAUAUGAAUUUAUUUUAUCAUAUCAUGAUUGUUGGGAAUUAUGAAUUUAGCUAUUCAUAAUCAUAAAUAAAUAUACCUGUUCGGGUAGUUUUGAUAUUUCUGAAGUUUGUUCCUCCAUAGCUUUUUUCAUUGAAAUAUGUCUAUUUAAUUAACUGAGUAAAAUAUUUGUUGUGGAAUGGAGAGAAUGUUUGCUUCAACGCAUGAAGGCUUUCCUUUGCAAUGCCUUCUGCUUUCUUUAUUUAUAGAACGAAAAGUAACUUUACAAUCCAAUCUAACUUUACAUGUUUUUAAAAUGUAAAACUUAAAAGUCAAAAAGGGAGGCUAGGCUAUUAACUAGCCUACUAGCUUUUGAUUUUUUACAAACUUACAAAUCUAUAUCUUUACGUAAAAGUCUAAAGUUUGUACAAUAAUUUCAACAAUAAUAAUAACUCAACAGUAACUUGUCUCCGUUGAUUUUGUCGUAUCUGCUAUAUCUUCAUUAUUGCUUCUUAUCUUUUCUUUUUAUGGAGUGUCCCAACGUCUCCUUCUAGCUCUGGAUUUUUAAUGUCUUCCGGUCGACAUAGCUCUGCACACUGCUGAGUUAGCUGAUUUGUAGCUAUAGACUUCAGUUUAUCUUCAUUAGUCUUUAGCUUUUCUAUCUCAUUACCCAUACUGUCCACUUUCAUUGAAAGCGUAGUUAGGGUGUUAAGUAUUUUUUCUAGAGUAUCUUCCUCUACUAUUUCAGUCUGUGUAGCUUUGUCUUGAUAUGUAAUCUGCAAUAACAUUUUUGUUAGUACUGAUCACUUCAAUUGUAAAUGUGAAAUUUAAUAUAUUUAAAACUAGUCUUCGAAUCUCUUUUGUUGUAACUGAAUUUUGUAUUUUCUUUGUUAACCACCAGCGUACCUGUGUAUUAUCUGUUCGUACAAUAAAUUUGUUAUAUACAAUAUAUGGCUCAAAUGCUAAUAAACAUUUAUAUAAUGAACAUAAUUCUUUCCUAUUUAUUUCCCAUUUUAUUUCUGUCUCGUUGAACGUACCUGAGUAGUAUCUACAAUGGUGUUCUAUUUUUUCUGCUUCAUAUCGAUAUUUAAGUACUCCUCCGUAACUAUAUUCACUUGCAUCUGCUUCUACUAUAUAUAUAAAUUUUCUAUUUUCAUCUGGAAAUUGCAAUUUUGGUAAUUCUCUACAAAGUAAUUUUAUUUUUUGAACUUGUUUUUUAUCUUUUUCAUCAUAAUUAUAUUCUAUAUCCUUUUUUAAUUUUUUCUGCAGUGGUUUUAAGGUUUCUGCUAAUUUUGGAAUAUAUUCUCUUACUUGGUUUACUAAUCCUAAAAAUGAUUGUAAUUUCUUUUUUGUAUCUAAUUCUUCUUUCGAAUUUAUUAUUUUUUGUACUAUAUGUUGUUGCAUUUUUACUCCACUUUUAUCUAUUUGUAUUCCUAAAAAUUCUAUCUGGUUUUUCAUAAUUUCAGCUUUCUUUUUGCUUAGACUUAUUCCUGAUUUUUCUAUUAUAUCUGUGAAUUGUUCUAAUAAUUUUAAAUGUUCUUCUUUGGUUUUGGUGUAUAAUAAUAUAUCAUCUAUGUAUACUAUACAAUUAGAUAAUUGUUUAAAAUAAUUAUCCAUAAAAUGUUGAUAUCUACCUGGUGCAUUUUUAUAUCCAAAUGGUAACACGUUCCAUUCAUAAAAUCCUUGUGGUACCGUAAAUGCGGUUAAUUCUUUAGAUUCUUCUUCUAGCUUUAGGUGGUAAAAUCCUGAUUUACAAUCAAAUUUGCUAAAAUAAUUAUAUCCUUGGAUUUGUCUUAUUUUUAAUAUCUUAUUUGGUAUCGGAUAAUUAUAUGUUAUAGUUUUUGCAUUUAAAUUUCUAUAGUCAAUAACCAUCCUACUUUUUCCUCUUUUUUGUUCACUAUGUUUAUUUACUAUAAAUGCUGGACUAUUAUGUUUACUAUUACUUUUUUGUAUAUAUUGUUUUUCUAAUAAUUCAUCUAUGUGCAUUUUAAAUUCUUUUAAAUCAUCAAAAUUAUAUGUUAAUGGUUUUUGUGUUAUUAUGCUAUUCUUAUCUAUUAAUUCAAUUUUUAUAGUAGUUUUGUGUUUUUCCCAUCCUUUUAAUGGAUCUUCACUAUAUAAUUGUUCUAAUUUUUUCUGAAUUAUUUCUAUUUUAUUUAUUGAAAAUAUAGUUAUUUCUGUUUUAUUUAUCGAAAAUACUACUAGUUCUACUGUAUCUUCAGUAUUGUUUAUAUUUUCUAACUUUUGUGUAAUUUUUUCACUUCCUUUUAUCCAAUCAGUUUUCUUUCUUAUUUUAUUAUUAACUCUUUUUGCUCUUACUUUUUGUUUGCAUGGUGUUGUAAACCACCAGUCUGUUUUGGUUAUUAUAUGUGGGUAUAAUUUAUCUAAAAAUGGCAUUCCUAAAAGUAUAUCUUUUGAUGUUAAUUCAUAAUUAUAAAUUUCUUCUAUUGUUAAUAUCUUAUCCCAUACUUGUAUUUUUACAUUCCUAGCUUUAUAAGUAAUUAAGCUUCCUUCAUUAUUAAAUCCUUUAACUAUUAUUGGUGUUUUUAGUUUAUCCCAUUUGCUUUCUGGUAAGCAAUUAUAUCUACAUAAAUUAGCUUCUGCUCCUGUAUCUAUCAUAGGCGUAUAAUAUCUACUGUAAUAUCCUUCUACUACUAUCUUCAUUAAUACAUGUAUCUUCAUUUCAUGUUAAGGCUCUUUUUAAGAAUAACUUUUCUUGGUUAUAUGUUAAGGUUAAUUGUGUAUGUUCUAUAUUAUAUGGUUUUACUUGUUCUAACCAUUUUAUUCCUAAUAUUAUAUCUGCUUUUUGCAUUUCUUCCUUUACUUCGAAUUCUAUUUUUAUUUUUCUAACUCCUAACAUUAUUUCUUUUUCUGCUAUAUUUUUAUUAUUUAUUAAACUUCUUGGUAGAUCUGGGCAUAUAUCAUUGUCAGUUUUUAUUUCUUCAUUUUUUACUAGAUAUUUUGCUAUAUGAUUUUCUUCUUGUCCUGUAUUCAAAAGUAUUAAAUAUUCUUUUUCAUUUAUUUUUCCCGUUAUGUAAUAUUGGUUUAAAUUACUUAUUGAGUUUGUUUCAUAACUUGUUCUUUUUGAUGAGCUUGAUGAUUCUGGCUUUUCAUUAGCUAUUCUUUUCGUUGUACUUAUUCUAUCAUUUACUAUUUCUAAAUUUUCUUCUGUAUCUAUGUCUCUAUAGGUAUAAUCAUUAUAAUCUAUUGUUUUUACUAUUUGUUCGAAUGGGCUUUCUAUUUGUAUUUUGUUAAUCUUAUUUUUUCCUGUUAUUUUAUGUUUUGUUGUUAAUACAUAUAGAUUUUUACAUCUUGCUGUAAAUAUUUUACUUCCUGGGGUUAACUCUAUUCCUGAUAUUUUCCAAUAUAAUACUAAUGAUUUAUCUAUAUUCCUAUCUGUUACUGCUACUGAAUAAUUUGCACUUAUUAUAAAUUUAAAUUUUUGGUAUAUUAGAUUUCCUUUUACGGCAGUUAUUAUGCUUUUUUCUAUAGGUUUUAUAAUUCUAUCGUCUGCUAAAUAUAAUUCUAUUGGUGUAUCUAUUCCUUCUCUAAAACAUGCUUUUAUUAAUAUCUCUGUACCUCCAAGGUGUACAUAUUUUAUUGGAUCUCCUUUACUUUUUAUAUCAUUUAUUUCUUUAUUAAUUAUUCUUUUUGUUACUAGUGGUAUACUAGCUUUUCCUUUUGCAUAUCUGCAAUCUAUUACAUGUUCUUUUUGGCAUACUACAUAAUAUUCAUCUUUUUUCCUAGUAAAAAUAUUUUUUAUUGUUGGUAUUUUAAAUAUUUUGUCUACACUUAAAUCUAAUUCUUUUCCUUUUAUUUCAUCAAAUAUAUUACUGUCAAAUAUUAUUUUUUGUUCCGUUCCUUCAUCAUUUAAAUAUUCUUCCUUUGUUAUUAUUUUUAUAUCUUCUUCAGUCAUUUGAUUCAUCUAUUUCGCUAUCUAUUUCAUUAUCUGUUUCGUUUUCUGAAAUUUCAUAUAUACUAUCUUCACUUUCUAAUUCAUAAUCUAUAUAAUCUAUCUGCAUGUAUUCGGUAUUUUCUAUUUUUAUUUCUGAUAUUUGUUUAUUUUUUGGAUUUUUAGGUAAUUUACAAUCUCUAGCUAAAUGUCCUAACUUUCCACAAUUAUAACAAGUACAUUCUUUUAUAGAUUUCUUUUUUCUAUAUGGUCUUUUAUGUUUAUAAUUUUUUACAUAGUAUCUUUUUCUUGGUUUUUUAUAUUUAUAUUUUGAUUUUUUAUAUUUCUUAUAUUUCUUAUGUCUUUUUCUUUUCUUAUAAUAUCUUUCUUCGCAUCCAAAUUGGGGUGCUAUUUUAUUUUUGCAACAAGCUAAAUUUCUUAUUAAUGUUUUUUCCAUUUUUAAUUCUUCUCUAUAUUUUUCACAUAAGUUUCUAUACCAUUGUUGUAAAUAUUUUAUUCUUGCUCCUAACGUAUCUACUAUUUUUGCUUCUUCCCAACUUUUUAUUAUUUUCGAACUAAAUGGCUCGGGUAAUUUAUUAAAAUAUAAUUUUCUUAUUUCUUUACUUUCUUCUAUACUAUAUGCUCCUUUGUAAUAAUAUUCUUUAAAUGCGCAAGUAUAUUCAUCUAUAUAACACAUAUUACAUAUUGCUAAUUUUAACAUUAAAUUUCUAUUUGUAUCUUUUUCUUCAUUUUGUUCUUCUUCGAUUGUUGUCGUACUACCAAAUUCAUCUUUUAUAGCUGUUUCAUAUUUUUUUAAUAAUUCUAUAGGUGUUAGUUUAGUUGUUGUCGAUGAUGUUCCUUCUAUAGGUUUAUUAGUUCUUAAUACUUUUUUGCUAUUUUCGGUUAGAUUUGCAAACCAUAGUUUUACUGAUCCUAUUAGUGUUUUUUCUAUAUAUUCCGGUGCAUCUGUUAUAUUUAUAUUAUUAUCUAAUAAUUGUUUUGUCAUAUAUCCUAUCCAUAAUUGUAUUGUUUUUUCUGUAUCUAUUACACAGUCUAGAUCUAAAAAGUUAUAAUUUUUAUUCACUAUUUGUUUUGGUAUCCAUUUAUCAUAUUCAUUAUAUUUUUUAAACUUAUUCUUAUAAUAUAUGGGUUUUCUUAUUUCUGUUGUUUUAGGUAUUAUAUUUUCAUUUUCUUUUUUAUCAAGAGUAUUUAUUUCUGUGUGGGUAUUUUCUAAGUUUUCCUCAUUAAUUUUUUGUUCUUCAUUGAUUUCUAAAUUUUUUGUAUUUGUUAAUAUUUCUGUGUAUGUUUCACUAUCUUCGGACUCAUAAUUAUCUGUCUCUUCAAUAUCUAUAUUAUUUAUUUCUAAUUCUUCGUUUUUUAUUUCUAAUUUUUCCUUAAAUUGAUUUAUCUCAUUUAGUAAUUUUUGUUCUCUAUCUUUUUCUUCUUUUUCUUUUUGUCUUUGUUCAUACAGUUCUUUUAACAUUUGUAAUUCUUUUUCUAAUUCAGCAAUUCUACUAUUUUUGGUUUCUUCUAUUUUUCGUAUUUCUUCCGUAGUUUGUUGUUUUAUUUUUUCUAUUUCUUUUUUCCUAUCUAUCUCUUCAUUUUCUUUUUCUAUUCUUACCAUUGCUGUUAAUUUAUCUUCUAAUUUUAAUUCUUCUUUUUCUAACAUUAGAUAUAAAUGUUCACCUAUUUUCUUAUAUCUUCUUCCUAGAUUAGAAAAUACUAUUUUUAUUUUUGAUCCUUCGUGGUUUUCAUAUAUUUUUUCAUCUAUUAUAAAUUCUUCUUUGUUUAUUUUAUUGUGAAUAGUUCAUGUUGAUAUAUAUAUUCUAAACUAUCUAUUUGUGAUUCUAAUUUUGAUAUUUCAUCUUUUUGUGUAUUUAUUGAAUUUUUACUAACUCCGGCAAAUAUAUUAUAAUGUAGUCUUUUUAUUCUUAUUUUUAAUUCUUCACGUUUUUCAGAAAUAAUUUGUUUUAAUUCUUUGUAUUUUUGUACUUUAUUCAUUUUAAAUUAUAUUUAUAAUAUUUUGGUGGAUAUCUAAAUCUAAUUUUAUCAUAAUUAGGUGGUAUGUGUUUCAUUCUCCUAGAUUUUAAAUGGAUUAUUAAUUUUGAUUCAAUACUAGAUAUUAAUGUAAUUAAGUAGGCUAAUCUUUGUCGUUUUUUUUUUGUUUUAUUUAGACUCAUAUAUUCUGAAUAAUUACUAAUUAAAGAUUCUUUGAUUUUUCUAAAAGCUUUUCUAUUUUUAAAUGGUCUUUGCAUAAUUAAUUUAAUAAUUUAUAGGUAAAUCUAAUAAUUCUAACUCUAACUCUAAUUCUAAUUCUAACUCUAACAUGUAUUUCACUUCCGUAUUUUUUGAAUUACUGGUCUCUGAUACCAUUUGGAAUUAUUCAUUUGCAAAGACAAGUAUUUUAAACGCCCCAGACUCCCAAUUUCAUCAGGAUUUGGCCAUGGAAACUGUUGUUUCCAAUGUCCAAAAUGCUAAGGAAAGAGAGGUUCCCAGUUUCUUUUGCAAUUGAACCUCUAAAUCCAAAGCUUCUAAGGACCAAUAAUGUCACUCUUUCAUGAUGCCUUAUACUGCAUGAAAUGCCAAUCCAGUUGCAAAAUGAAGUACCCUUUGUCCAGUUUGUGGCUGCUUCAUUUGUUUGUACUUAAUGGAGGUCUGAAUCUAAAUAGUUCAGACUUUAUACCAUUAAGUGUAUUUAUUUUUUAUUAAGGUUUUAACUCUUUAUCGGUCUGAAUAGCUCUUAAUCAUUUAGAUCUAGAAUCAAGUCUUAGGCCUCAUUUCUUUGCACUUAAUGGAGGUUUGAAUCUGAAUGGUUCAACUUCAUACCAUUAAGUACAUUUGUUUUUUAUUAAGGUUUUAACCUUAAUAGGUCUGAAUAGGUCUUAAUCAUUCAGAUCUAAAACAAAGUCUUAAUAGGUCUGAAUGGUUAUUCUGGUGUUCGAUAAUAGUCACCACUCUAUUCAUAAUCAGCAGUUACCACCACUAACCACCUCUGUCACCGUCUCCCUUGUCAAUCACCACCCACCUCCACCA
rnacentral:lncRNA from 1 species